rnacentral:lncRNA from 1 species
GUCAGAUCAAGGGGAAGCCAUACCCGAAAUCGCGAUACUGCCGUGGUGUCCCCGACCCCAAGAUCCGAAUCUACGACGUCGGGAUGAAGAAGAAAGGAGUCGACGAGUUCCCAUUCUGCGUCCACCUCGUCUCAUGGGAGAAAGAAAACGUCUCCAGCGAAGCUCUCGAGGCCGCGCGUAUCGCUUGCAACAAGUACAUGGUGAAAUCAGCUGGGAAAGAUGCUUUUCAUUUGAGGAUUAGGGUUCAUCCUUUCCAUGUUCUGAGGAUCAACAAGAUGCUUUCGUGCGCUGGGGCUGAUAGGCUUCAGACUGGUAUGAGAGGUGCUUUUGGUAAGGCUUUGGGGACUUGUGCUAGGGUGGCGAUUGGGCAGGUGCUUUUGUCUGUGAGGUGUAAGGAUAACCAUGGGGCUCAUGCUCAGGAGGCGCUCAGGAGGGCUAAGUUUAAGUUCCCUGGUCGUCAAAAGAUCAUUGUUAGCAGGAAAUGGUAUGGGUUGUGUUGUCGUUUUCUCUUCUGUUUGUUACCGUUUAACUGAAACGUUGGAUGAUGUUUCAGGGGAUUCACCAAGUUCAACCGUGCUGAUUACACUAGGCUGAGACAGUCCAAGAGGAUUGUUCCUGAUGGUGUCAAUGCUAAGGUACUGUUCUUGUAUCUGUCUUUAGAAUGUUCGUGGAAGGCAUUGCUUGUGUAGUAUCUGUUGGAGUAUGUUGAUUGGAAAUUGGAAAACCAAAAUUUGAAAUAGUAUUGUGGUAAUUGUGAUGGGUAUUGCCUGUGUUAUAAUUUGUCUAGUUUUAUGCACCAUUUGAGCUACAGCUUUUCUUGUUUAUUGAUUUUGAUUUAUGUUUUGUCUUUGUGUUGCAGUUCUUAUCGAACCAUGGUCGUUUGUCUAACCGUCAACCUGGAAGUGCGUUCAUAUCAGCCACCAGCGAUUAAGAGUGAAGAUGAUGAUUUGUGGUUGUAGUACCGAUAAUUCUCUAGUUUCCGAAGUUAUUCGUUUUGUUUUUGUUGUAACAGUUAAAAACAAAUCCUCGUUUCCUUUUUUUCUGGACAAUCGUUUUAAGGCCUGUUUCUAUGUUCGUUGUUCAAUCAAGUUCUGGUUUUACUUCUCACUUGCGUCCUCGUGAUUUAUCUGGAAUCGAGCUCCUUGGUUGGAUAUUAUGCCCGUUAGUAUUGCUUGCGGCUAUUAUUAUUUUUAAAGUAUUUAUUAGGCCUGGACAAAAUAGUCGGAACCGAAGAACCGAACUGGAACUAUACCGAAAUACCCGAAACUGGAUCCGGACCAAUGCCCUCAAAUAUCCGAAUGUGCUUAUAUUUUUAUAUCCGAAAAAAUUUAACCGGAACCGAACGGGUACCUGAAUAUAUAAAAAAUAUUAAUUAUAUAUACAUAUAACAUCACUAAAUAAAUAUUUUUAAUUUAAAAUUCUAUUAAAAGUAUUUGAAAAUAGUUAAGGAUAACUAAAUUAUUAUAAAGUAUUCAAUCUACCCGAAAUUAUCCGGAUAGUUUUAUCCGAAAUAUCCAAAGUAAUUCAAAAUGUCCAAAUUUCUUAUCUAAAUCAUCCUAAUUAUUUGAUAUUUAUCCUAAAUAACCGAUAUUUUAUCCAAAUUAUCCGAAUUACCCGAACUAUCUGAACUCGAACCGGAUCCAAAUAAGAAUCGAACUUUUUCCGGAUAUUUUCCGGUUCCUACAUUUACUAUCCGAACCGAACCAAACUCAAUACUAUCCGAACCGAACCGUAAAUAGGUCAAGUACUAAAUGGAUCCUCUAGCCCUUAUCCAAACUACCCGAAACCCGAAAUACCCGAACCGAACUGAACCGAUACCCGAAAUGCUCACGCCUAGUAUUUAUACAGAAAGAGUGGGUUAAUUAUAAGAACUGUAAACGCAUUAGCCUUGUGCAAUGUGCAUGAACACUUUUACAAGUAAAACUGAGAUUAUCAGUUUUGAUAUAAGAUUAUGUUAGGUGGCUAGAGAUAUAAGAAAAUGGUGCUUCUUUAACAUAGAUAACAUCAGCUUCUUCUUUUAGAACAAAUCACUGCUGAUUGAAUAUCAUUUUCAGUUGAUGAUUCCUAACUUAAUCUGUAGCUCUGUAUUGUUGGGGAAAAGAUAAUUGUGUUGUGUUGUAUCAUGUAUGUUAUUAAGACUGCCUUUUUACAAAACCCCACAACCCCAGAUUUAUGAUCUAUAGUUACUUUAUUAGAGAGAGGAAACAUGUUUUAAUGAUCAUUGUUUUGUAUGAACAAUGUUACUUUCUAAAGCUUUACAAGCCCCUAUUAAUUUCCUUGUGGCAGGUGAAGUAUUUGGUGGAAACAGAGGAUUUAGACGUAUCCCACCAGAGAAGGGUAUUUUCCCUUUGGAUCACUUCCACGAAUGUGAUUCAGUAUUACUUCAAUAACUCUAGGUAUACAUGCUUGUGAUCUUUCAGUUAUUCACUUGGUAUUAUUCUUGGCUGGCAUCAUUGUUAUUUUCAGGAGAAGAAACUAUAUCUCGGCUGUAUUAAAGUUUCAGCUCACAAAUCUGAGCAAUGUAGACAUCUCUCAAAGAAAUAUCUCCAGUGUCGAAUGGCCAAGUGAGUCCUUUCACUCAGGGCCGGCUCAACAUUCUUAGGGGCCCUAGGGCAAAAAAAAAAAAUUUACCCUCUAAAAUUUAUAUACUUAUAAUGUUUAAAAUAUAUAUAAAAUUUAAUAUGUAAUAUUUUGUAUAUAUUUGUAAUGAAAAUAAAACUAUAUACAUAUCAAAUAAUUUUGGACCCUUUUUAUUUUGAUUUAUUAUAUUUAUAAUUUUUUUUAUAUAUAAAAAUAUAAAUUUAUAAAAAAUUUGGGCCCCUUAAUUAUUAUUAUACAGGAGGACACGAGCUUGGGCCCGGGGCGGUCGCACCGCUUGGCCUCCCCACUGAGCCGGCGCUGCUUUCACUAUUCGGUGACAAUCAUAAUUAUCUCUAGUGCUCGUUUGCUUGGGAUUAAGGGUUGGUCUUAUAAAAAAAACGUUUAUCCAGCUAGGAUUAGGAAUGUUAAUUAGGGCUUUAGUUAAAUGGACAUAAACGGGCCUGGUGUAAUAUUUUUGUCCGUUAAAAGCCCGAUUAUUUAACAAUCCUAAACGGGCUUAGUUGGGUUGUUAUGUUAGAAAGUUUGUUGUUUCUAUAAAACCAAACUAUUCUCAAACUAUAUAUGUUUCAGCUUUUAUUAGUUCUCGUAGUUACAGAUAAUGUGAAUAGUUGGCAUGUUCCGUUUGUCAUUUUAUAAUUGCAUCUAGAGCAUCUAGAUGCUUCAUCCAAAUGUUGUAUGUAUACACUGUAUUUGGAUUUGUUAAGUUUUUUCUUCUGUUAUGCAUCAAGAUGUUAUAUUUAAAUAUUAGAACUUUAUUUAUUUGAUUUGAGUAACCGAAUAUGCGUCUGCACUGUACAACUCUUUGGGCAAAAGAAUGUGUUAGUCUUUGGACUUUAUACUUUAUAGUCUAUUUAGAUUGCUAUCUCAUCUCCUCGCGAAGACGCGAGAAACGUAAAAACACAACCGCUCCAAACAUGUCUUUACCACUCAUUUACAGUUUUACGAACCCUUUUUUUUAACACAACUUAAUUUCAUUCGAUCUCAACUCUUUCGGUUAUAAUAAAAAGAGGAAAGACCAUCUUCUUUGAUUCAAAAUAUAAAACUACAAAAACACAAGCAGAUAGACAAGAUAAUACUUCAUGAGAAGAUGACAGCAAAUUCAAUACGAAGCUCGAAUGCGUCGAUAAAGCUUUUACGACAAAGUCGAAUAGCUGAAAGAUAUUCACAUAAAGAGGUAAUGUUAACACCCAAUCCGCACCUCGUAGUAUCAUCGAAACGAAAUCCGUUGCAUCUUCAGACCCCAAACAAACCACUACACAAAAUAGCAAAACUGUUAUUAUAUGGAUGGCCACUUCCAUUUAACGUUUGGAAAGAAAACACUCCUUAACAAGGAGGUAGUGGAUAAAGCGGUUCGCUUCUCUAACAAGAAGGAUGCUAGUGGUGAUGAAGACGAUCCCGGUAGACCAACUAGUAAUGGAAUAGAACGUAAGCUCUUCGCACAAGAGAGAUGCAUUGUUAUAUGUAAACCCGUUUCGGUACCGAAAAGGGAACUAGUUAUUUUCCGUUCCAAUGGCUGAGAGAGACGUCGAACAGGUAAACUAUAUUCUUAAAGAGGUUUUUUUACAAGAACUUGUCCCUUAAUCUUUUGUUGUUGAAUGAUUGAACAAAGAUUAGAAUAUGGACUACUUCUGUUCAUAUAUGCUUAGGAUGUGCUCUCUCUUUUCAUCAACCUGUGUUCCUCUGUAUAAGUCAUUGGAAAUUGAUCCUUUUUGACCAAAUCCAACAGGCCAUUACGUCACUUAAGAAAGGUUCCUACUUGCUGAAAUACGGUCGCAGGGGGAAGCCUAAGUUCUGUCCAUUCCAGCUUACAAGUGUAAGAUUUUCUUGGACGCCAUAACAUCUUCCGUUUAUAUUCUUCUUGUUUGCUAUCUCUUAAUUUAAACAUGUGAAUAUAUUAUCCUAGGACGAGUCAACAUUAGUAUGGUACUCUGGCAAAGAAGAGAAGCAGAUUAAGCUUAGUCAAGUCCUCAGAAUUGUUCCUGGACAACGCACGGUCAGUUUUCUCAUGAAUGCAAUAUGCAUGUAAACAAGUACAUUUCCUUGAACAAAAAAAAAAAAAAGCUUCUGAAAUCUGUUUCUAUUACAUUUCAACUUAGUAAAGAUGGUUUCUUGUUUACCUCAUCCUAGACUCAACGGCUAAAGUUUGUUUCAGGCUACAUUUAAGAGAUAUCCACGACCGGAGAAAGAGUAUCAGUCCUUUUCCCUCAUAUGUCCUGAUAGGUCCUUGGAUUUGGUGAGUCUUUUUAAUGCAAUCUUACCAUGAAAUAGCAUUCGUUGGACCAUGAACUUGAACGCUACAUGUGCAUAACAUCAAGGUCUAGAAGGAAAAAAUCGUGAAACAUCAUAUUUUAUUUAUCCAUUAUGAUGUUGAUGAUGUUUUUGUUUAGAUAUGUAAAGACAAGGACGAAGCAGAAGUGUGGGUUGUUGGUUUGAAGGCACUGAUCACUCGUGUAAAAAUCUCCAAAUGGAAAAACACUAUUAAACCUGAGAUCACUUCACCUGAAUGUCCAACCCCUCAUGCACGGAGAGUGUCUCCCUUCGUAUCAAUCCUUGUGAGUACCACAACAUUUCACGUUCUUUAUGAAAAUUUGAAACAACAACCUUAUACUUUGCAUUAUUGUUACGUACAGGAUCAAGUUACUCAGCCCUCUACCGAGACUUCUACACCAAACCGGUUAGGAAAAGUCUUUUCUGACAUUGUCUCAAUAACUGCACCAGACAAUAACAAUCAGACAGAAGCCAAUACUCUCAAUCCUAACCUAUACUGUCCUAUUUCUCCUGGGAAUGUCGAAAACCCGAAUUCACGGUUCUCCAUGGGGGGUGACCUGGCUAGACUCAGCCUAUCUAGCGCUGUGAGUACAUCUAGCCACGGUUCGUAUCACGAAGAGUUUGAUGCUUUAGGUGAUGUUUUCCUCUGGGGUGAAGCUAUAAGUGAUGGUGUACUAAGUGGUACUGGAAAGACAUUACAUUCCACUACAGAGGAUGCACUUUUACCAAAAGCAUUAGAGUCAACAAUAGUUCUCGAUGCUCAAAACAUAGCAUGUGGUAGGUGUCAUGCCGUUUUAGUUACAAAACAAGGAGAGAUCUUCAGCUGGGGAGAGGGAACAGGUGGGAAACUAGGACAUGGCUUAGAAAAAGAUACCCACCAACCAAAGUUCAUUAGUAGUGUCAGAGGGAUGAAUUUCAAAUCUUUAGCCUGUGGUGAAUUUCAUACAUGUUCUGUUACUCAAUCUGGUGAUCUUUAUACUUGGGGUGACGGCACUCGAAAUGUCGAUUUGCUUGGUCAUGGGAGUGAAUCCAGCUGCUGGAUUCCCAAGAGGGUGACUGGUGUCUUACAAGGAAUGCAUGUGUCUUAUGUGGCUUGUGGUCCUUGGCAUACAGCAGUGGUUGCAUCAUCAGGACAGUUGUUUACAUUUGGAGACGGAUGUUUUGGUGCACUAGGUCAUGGAGACAGAACAAGCUCUAGUGUUCCGCGCGUAGUUGAAAGCCUAAGUGAAGUAAGAGUAAUGAAGGUUGCUUGUGGAUUUUGGCAUACAGCUGCAGUGGUGGAGGUUACAAAUGAAGCAUCUGAUGCAGAGCUCUACUCUUCGUGUGGACAACUGUUCACAUGGGGAGAUGGUGAGAAAGGCCAGCUUGGUCAUGGUGACAAUGCGGAAAAGCUACUCCCCGAGUGCGUAACCUCAUUGGCAGAUGAAAAAAUCUGCCAAGUUGCUUGUGGCCAUAGUCUCACCGUUUCUCUUACAUCCAAUGGACAUGUGUUUACAAUGGGUAGCCCGGCUUACGGCCAGCUGGGCAACCCUACGGCCAAGGAGAAGGUCCCUUCACGCGUCGAAGGAGACAUAACAGAGACUUGUGUAGAGGAGAUUGCGUGUGGUUCUCAUCAUGUGGCUGUGUUGACAUCUAAAUCAGAGGUUUACACUUGGGGAAAAGGAUUAAAUGGUCAGUUAGGACACGGAACCGUUGAGAACAAAAGAGAACCUGCUGUUGUUGGGUUUUUGAAAGAAAAACAAGUCAAGGCUAUAACAUGUGGUUCCAACUUCACUGCUGUGAUUUGUCUUAACAAAUGGGUACCUGGCUCUGAACAUUCUCUCUGUGCUGGUUGCCGUAACCCUUUCAAUUUUAGAAGAAAACGUCACAAUUGUUACAACUGUGGUCUCAUCUUUUGUAAAGUAUGCAGCAGUAGAAAGUCUUUGAGAGCUGCUCUUGCGCCUGAUAUGAACAAACCAUAUAGAGUGUGUUAUGGAUGUUUCACCAAGCUGAAAAGGUCUAGAGAACUGUCUCCUCCUCCUCCUACUCCACGUACAAGAAACCUUUUGAAUAUGCGAAAAUCGACCGAUGUUUCAGAAAAAACUCCAAAACUCCUCUCACCACACUCCAGAAUAGCCUCGGCUGACUCUUUAGUGCAAUAUGGCGAAGGAAGACACAGCAAAAGAGACGUGAAACCGGAAGCAAGUAACAGUAAUGUCUUCGCCUUAGGCAGUGUACAGCCAGCUAUGUCGCCGUUAUUAAGAGGAUCAAUAGCUUGGCCUAGAAUCUCCAAAAAUAUGAUAGUUAAAGUUCCUGGUUCAAGAGUUAGCUCUCGCACAGCGUCUCCUGUUUCAGUGAAGUCAACUAGUCCACGCCCAUCUCAUGAAGUAACAACUGAUGAAUCUAAACACAUAAAAGACAGUUUUGGUCAAGAAAUUGUGGGUCUAAAGGAACAUGUACUUCUUCUCUCUAACCCUCUUUUAUUUUCAGCUGUAUAUCACAUGCAUGCAUCUAAUAUUUAAUAUCUAAUGAAAAAUGAAGGUAGAACAACUGACUUCCAAAACACAACAACUUGAAGAAGAACUUGAAAAAACUAAAAGGCAGUUGAAAGUGGUCACUGCAAUGGCAGCAGAUGAAGCAGAGGAAAACAGAUCCGCAAAAGAGGUUAUUAGAUCUCUAACCACUCAGGUACAUUUAUCUUACUUCUUAUGUUUCUUAUAUCGAUGUCGCAUAAUGUUAACAAUGGUCUUGCAGUUGAAGGAAAUGUCUGGAAGAUUACCUCAAAAGGAUGAUACUAGCACUAACUUAAGACACACAGAAAAAGAGACAACAUUAGAGAGUCAAACUCAGACUAGUUCCCAGACACAUAUAAGAAGUAUGGUCCCUCAUGAUAGUCAAUCAGAAAACAACUUAAGUAAGAGUUUUGUUAAUGGACAUAGAAGACAUAAUGAGAAGGCAGAGAGAGUUGUGCAAGACGAACCUGGAGUUUAUUUGACACUGUUGUCUUUACCUGGUGGUGGUAAUGAACUCAAGCGUGUCCGGUUCAGGUACAUGAAUGCUUCUUUUUCUUCUUAAGAUGCUAAUACAAUCUCGCCUUUUUAAACCAACACGACAAGACAUCAUUUUACGUGGCUCGUCAUCAUGUUGACAUGUAACGUCGAUGUUUCUUGUGCAGCCGGAAACAGUUUACUGAAGAACAAGCAGAGAAGUGGUGGGGUGAAAAUGGAGGUAAAGCUUGUGAGCGACACAACAUUCUAGUUUCCUAGGAUCUCAUUUGUCUUCAAUAGAGAAAGAAAGGGAGAGAGAGACAGACAAAGACAAAGAAAAGAUAGCGACAUGUAGAAUAAAUAGAGAAACAUAUGUUUUGAGGGUUAAAACCAACAUGUUUUCUGCUAUCAAUAGAAAAAAGUUUGAUGAACUGAGUAUUGCGUGGUUCCCAAGGAAUAUGAGCAUUUAAACGAGGAAUAUCUCUGUUGAAUACGUGUAAGUAAAGAAACAGUUCUACAAUAAUCAUAAUCACCAAGAAUGCAUCAAUCACAACAAGUCAACAACACUGAGGAAACCUGAUGAGCUCUUAUUAACUGACAAUAGUCAUAAUCACCAAUUAUUCAAAUGGGAAAUUUGGUUUGGUUUUAGAUUGUUUUUUGUCAAAAUAAAAAGAAGAUAAUAGGUUUGUGUUCGAUUGUAUUUCUUUUUGUAAAGUAUGUUAUUAAUUGUUUGUCAAAAAAAGAGUAUGUUAUUAAUUUUUUGGAUUGAAAAAUCUUUACGGUAGAAUAAGAUCUUUUCGAGUUUUGAAUUCGUGAUUUAUUUGUGCCAGAUUUUUUUUUUAACUGGUUUGGUUUGGGUUUUGUUAAGAUUUAAGUCAGAUGAAAUUUCAAUUUGGUUUAAUAAGGAGCUUACAUAUAUAAACAUUAUACCAAUUUGUCUAUAUAGACGUUUUCAACUCCAACAUUGAAAGGAUAUCUACUUUUAGCAAAAAGAAAAGAUUAUAAUUUUGUAUCCAUUUAUUAAUUAAUUACUAUAUGAUACUAUCUUAUUCUCAAAUUAAGUGAUGGUAGAUCACAAAAGGCCAACUUUCGUUGUCUCGGUUGAUACCUAUUUUUGUCUCUUCAACUUUUGUUUUGGGAGAAUGUUGUUUUGGGAGAAUGAGUCUAGAAGGAUAAUGAAUAAGAUCAUGCUGACUCAGAGGAGGUUACGUAACGUGGAAAGGCUAGUCAAAGUAGAGAGUACGGUAGUAGUGAGAGGUAUCAUUUGGAUGAUCAUUGUAAACUCUAGUUUAUAGUUUGGCCACUUUUAAUUUUUUUAGUAAUUUAUAAUUCAUAGGCAUAGACUCAAUUUACUAUGCGUUGUGAUUAGCCAUAGACUCAAUUAAGGUUAUUAAUUAAGUAGAAUACUGCCAUCAAUAUAAACAUUUACUUAUCACAAUUGUAAAGUAAGUUAUUAACAUAAUCUUGGUUAAAGUUAUUAAUGUCAUUUUCUGAGAAAUACAUUAAGCUUAUUCAUACAUGAAACAUGUGCCAUUUAUUUAUAACAACAUUCCAAACAAUCAUUUCAAAUUACACAUUUUGGCCAGUCUAAAUAAUUACAAUCAUCAUGAGUCUCCACUCUUUAGGCUUGGCCCAUGGCACAAGCAAAGUAAGCAAUGGCUUAAGUCCCAACAAAUUUAUGAAGUUUUUUUAAGCUAAGAAAAAAUAAAUCUGAAAAUAUUUAUAUAGAAAAAGGACACAUUUUUUUCUGAUUUGAAUAGGGCUAUAUUUUGGGUUGGGCUGUCCCUGUGAGUCUCCAUUGUCGAAAUCAUAUAUAUAUCUUUAGACUCAACUUCUUCUCUGGUUUUUAGUUAUUUAUCCUUGUUUUGUAUUUAAAAAUUUUAAUGUAAAAAUAAAUACAAAUUAUGAAAGGAUUAUUUUAGAAUUUAUGAAACCCAAGUGUGCCACGACAGAAUUUGAUUUAUGUAAAAUUUGUUCAUGGGUUCACCACUGAUGGUGGAUCAUAUAAAGGCUUUGGCAUCACCACAUAUGAGUGCGUUUCAUAGCAGAGGACACUUUGCCGAAUCAAAUCCUCUAACGUAAAAAACUAACACGUUUGGCUAGGAAGCAUCAACAGUGAGUUGUUUUUUCACUGGAGCAAGUAAGAAAAUUAAGGCCCCGACAAAAUAUCAAAGAACCCAAUGGGCCGUUAUCUAGCUAAAACUUAGGGCUUUUCUGUUAUCUCACCUAUAUAAAGAACAUUACGCAACUCAUUUUUUAACACUAGGGUUCCCGAAGCCGUCACCAACGAACACCAACGCGAUGGGGCGAAGUAAGUCUCAUCUUCAAAUCUCAUUUCGAAUUGCCUGAAUCCUUGAAUCGAAUCGUGCUUCUGCUAAUCGUGCCAUUGAUUGUAGGACCUGCGAGAUGUUACCGUCAGAUCAAGGGGAAGCCAUACCCGAAAUCGCGAUACUGCCGUGGUGUCCCCGACCCCAAGAUCCGAAUCUACGACGUCGGGAUGAAGAAGAAAGGAGUCGACGAGUUCCCAUUCUGCGUCCACCUCGUCUCAUGGGAGAAAGAAAACGUCUCCAGCGAAGCUCUCGAGGCCGCGCGUAUCGCUUGCAACAAGUACAUGGUGAAAUCAGCUGGGAAAGAUGCUUUUCAUUUGAGGAUUAGGGUUCAUCCUUUCCAUGUUCUGAGGAUCAACAAGAUGCUUUCGUGCGCUGGGGCUGAUAGGCUUCAGACUGGUAUGAGAGGUGCUUUUGGUAAGGCUUUGGGGACUUGUGCUAGGGUGGCGAUUGGGCAGGUGCUUUUGUCUGUGAGGUGUAAGGAUAACCAUGGGGCUCAUGCUCAGGAGGCGCUCAGGAGGGCUAAGUUUAAGUUCCCUGGUCGUCAAAAGAUCAUUGUUAGCAGGAAAUGGUAUGGGUUGUGUUGUCGUUUUCUCUUCUGUUUGUUACCGUUUAACUGAAACGUUGGAUGAUGUUUCAGGGGAUUCACCAAGUUCAACCGUGCUGAUUACACUAGGCUGAGACAGUCCAAGAGGAUUGUUCCUGAUGGUGUCAAUGCUAAGGUACUGUUCUUGUAUCUGUCUUUAGAAUGUUCGUGGAAGGCAUUGCUUGUGUAGUAUCUGUUGGAGUAUGUUGAUUGGAAAUUGGAAAACCAAAAUUUGAAAUAGUAUUGUGGUAAUUGUGAUGGGUAUUGCCUGUGUUAUAAUUUGUCUAGUUUUAUGCACCAUUUGAGCUACAGCUUUUCUUGUUUAUUGAUUUUGAUUUAUGUUUUGUCUUUGUGUUGCAGUUCUUAUCGAACCAUGGUCGUUUGUCUAACCGUCAACCUGGAAGUGCGUUCAUAUCAGCCACCAGCGAUUAAGAGUGAAGAUGAUGAUUUGUGGUUGUAGUACCGAUAAUUCUCUAGUUUCCGAAGUUAUUCGUUUUGUUUUUGUUGUAACAGUUAAAAACAAAUCCUCGUUUCCUUUUUUUCUGGACAAUCGUUUUAAGGCCUGUUUCUAUGUUCGUUGUUCAAUCAAGUUCUGGUUUUACUUCUCACUUGCGUCCUCGUGAUUUAUCUGGAAUCGAGCUCCUUGGUUGGAUAUUAUGCCCGUUAGUAUUGCUUGCGGCUAUUAUUAUUUUUAAAGUAUUUAUUAGGCCUGGACAAAAUAGUCGGAACCGAAGAACCGAACUGGAACUAUACCGAAAUACCCGAAACUGGAUCCGGACCAAUGCCCUCAAAUAUCCGAAUGUGCUUAUAUUUUUAUAUCCGAAAAAAUUUAACCGGAACCGAACGGGUACCUGAAUAUAUAAAAAAUAUUAAUUAUAUAUACAUAUAACAUCACUAAAUAAAUAUUUUUAAUUUAAAAUUCUAUUAAAAGUAUUUGAAAAUAGUUAAGGAUAACUAAAUUAUUAUAAAGUAUUCAAUCUACCCGAAAUUAUCCGGAUAGUUUUAUCCGAAAUAUCCAAAGUAAUUCAAAAUGUCCAAAUUUCUUAUCUAAAUCAUCCUAAUUAUUUGAUAUUUAUCCUAAAUAACCGAUAUUUUAUCCAAAUUAUCCGAAUUACCCGAACUAUCUGAACUCGAACCGGAUCCAAAUAAGAAUCGAACUUUUUCCGGAUAUUUUCCGGUUCCUACAUUUACUAUCCGAACCGAACCAAACUCAAUACUAUCCGAACCGAACCGUAAAUAGGUCAAGUACUAAAUGGAUCCUCUAGCCCUUAUCCAAACUACCCGAAACCCGAAAUACCCGAACCGAACUGAACCGAUACCCGAAAUGCUCACGCCUAGUAUUUAUACAGAAAGAGUGGGUUAAUUAUAAGAACUGUAAACGCAUUAGCCUUGUGCAAUGUGCAUGAACACUUUUACAAGUAAAACUGAGAUUAUCAGUUUUGAUAUAAGAUUAUGUUAGGUGGCUAGAGAUAUAAGAAAAUGGUGCUUCUUUAACAUAGAUAACAUCAGCUUCUUCUUUUAGAACAAAUCACUGCUGAUUGAAUAUCAUUUUCAGUUGAUGAUUCCUAACUUAAUCUGUAGCUCUGUAUUGUUGGGGAAAAGAUAAUUGUGUUGUGUUGUAUCAUGUAUGUUAUUAAGACUGCCUUUUUACAAAACCCCACAACCCCAGAUUUAUGAUCUAUAGUUACUUUAUUAGAGAGAGGAAACAUGUUUUAAUGAUCAUUGUUUUGUAUGAACAAUGUUACUUUCUAAAGCUUUACAAGCCCCUAUUAAUUUCCUUGUGGCAGGUGAAGUAUUUGGUGGAAACAGAGGAUUUAGACGUAUCCCACCAGAGAAGGGUAUUUUCCCUUUGGAUCACUUCCACGAAUGUGAUUCAGUAUUACUUCAAUAACUCUAGGUAUACAUGCUUGUGAUCUUUCAGUUAUUCACUUGGUAUUAUUCUUGGCUGGCAUCAUUGUUAUUUUCAGGAGAAGAAACUAUAUCUCGGCUGUAUUAAAGUUUCAGCUCACAAAUCUGAGCAAUGUAGACAUCUCUCAAAGAAAUAUCUCCAGUGUCGAAUGGCCAAGUGAGUCCUUUCACUCAGGGCCGGCUCAACAUUCUUAGGGGCCCUAGGGCAAAAAAAAAAAAUUUACCCUCUAAAAUUUAUAUACUUAUAAUGUUUAAAAUAUAUAUAAAAUUUAAUAUGUAAUAUUUUGUAUAUAUUUGUAAUGAAAAUAAAACUAUAUACAUAUCAAAUAAUUUUGGACCCUUUUUAUUUUGAUUUAUUAUAUUUAUAAUUUUUUUUAUAUAUAAAAAUAUAAAUUUAUAAAAAAUUUGGGCCCCUUAAUUAUUAUUAUACAGGAGGACACGAGCUUGGGCCCGGGGCGGUCGCACCGCUUGGCCUCCCCACUGAGCCGGCGCUGCUUUCACUAUUCGGUGACAAUCAUAAUUAUCUCUAGUGCUCGUUUGCUUGGGAUUAAGGGUUGGUCUUAUAAAAAAAACGUUUAUCCAGCUAGGAUUAGGAAUGUUAAUUAGGGCUUUAGUUAAAGGGCCAAAAACCCCACGCCGGUGUCCGUUUGGAAAUGGUAAUUAAAUAUUUAAUUAAAUUAAAAUUUUAAUUUAUAUAUGUAUAUAUGUAUAUUCUAACUUUCUUAAAUGUUUUUAGGCCAAAGAGAUGGGACAACUCCCGUCUCUUUGGCAACUUUACGAGAGGACCCACAAGAAUAAGGCGGGCCAAUUUCUAGAUGGCAAGUCCGAGCAAAUCUUCAACGACUUGGUUGCUCAGGUUGACGACCGCCAGACCUAGCUGACCCAACAGUCCACCGACGGAUUACCCGUCACCUUAUCCACACUUGAAGUGGAUAAGAUUUACGAGGAGGUAAAUUUUUUAAAAUUUUAAUUUUUUUUAUUAUUCAUUUAAUUUAACUUUAAAUUUUAACUAACAAUAUUUAUUUUUUUGUUUUUAAGGUUGUCCCUAAGAAAAAGGGACGUACGUUGGGGAUUGGUUCCGUCAACGAUAUUCCGAGAGUGACAUCGUCUUAUGCUCAGACACGGAAAGAUGAAGUCACUGCGCUGCAUAGUGAGGAGGAGUGAUGAAUUCUACCGGGCGAUGAAUGACUCUUAGUUCUUUUUUUUCGGUUGUUGAAUUAUAAAUUCAAAACAUAUUUAUAUAUAUAAAAUAAUUUGGUAUUGAUUUUUUUUAAAAAAAUUAAUUUUAUUAAUAAAUUAAAUAAUUUUAAUUAUUUUUUUUAAUUAUAUUUUUAAAUUCUGUAAAAAAAACGAAGUAAAUUUGUAGCUAAUUUACAACCUAUUUACGAGGAAAUGACGAGGAAGAAUAAACGAGUAUUUUACGAGGAAACAUUUACGAGAAAAUGACGAGGAAAGAUAAACGAGUAUUUUACUUGGAAAUACUUUCGUGGUACUUACGUGUACAUUACGAGGAAACACUUUCGAGAUAUUUACGUGUAGUUUACGAGGAACACCUUUCGAGGUAUUUACGAGGAAAUAUAGCGAUCUCCUUACGUGGAAUAUUACGUGGUCUUUACGACGGAAUGAUGUACUUCGUCUUUACGACGAAAUCUUUUCCUCGCUAAGUUGCGACGAAUUGGCGAGAAAAUAUGCGUUACGACGAAUUGGCGAGAAAAUAUGCGUUACGACGAAUUGGCGAGAAAAUAUGCGUUACGACGAACGAGUAACGAAGAAAUAUUUUUCCUCGCUAAUUCCUCGUAAAGCCUCUUUUAUGACGAACUCACGAGGAAUACCGUCGUCGUUAAACUUAUGUUUUCUUAUAGUGUCGGGGUGACUUGUUGCAGAAUAAUAGCAAGUAAAUAGAUGGAGAAGUCUCUUUGGAUUGUUAUGUAUUAGAUUAGAUGGUGCUAGUUAAAGCUUAAAAUAACGGCAAGCAAGUUUUAAAAAGAGGUUUUAGUAAUUAAACCUUUCAAGUAAAGAUGAAUAAAAAAAACCAUCAACUAAAAAUUCGGUGAAAUAAAUCUUCAACUUUAAUUCUGUUAACAUAUGUUAUUCUCUGUCUAAAAAACCGUGACGGAUGGUGAUAUACGUUAACGGUUUAUAAGUUAAUAGUUUAUAAUGUUGAAAACUUAGUUGGGAUUUUUUACGAUUCAAAAAUAGUUGAGGAGUUUUAUCACUAAAAAUCAUUAAAUGUUUUAAAAUCUUUAUUAUCAUUUAUACAUUGUUUUAGAUUGAUAUAAACCUUUAAAACUAAUUUAUAAAUUUUAAUACAUUAUUUUAUAACCGAUUUAUAAAGCUUCAUAAAUAUUUUAAUAUUCUUACAUAUGAUUCAUAUGGUUUCACAAUAUAACGUAUGAGCCGGAGGACGGAAAUCAUGAAAAUAUGAAAAAAUGCGUCCUACUCUAAAUAGAAAGACUGAUUUCAUGGAUGAAUUAUCCACAACACUACUUAAGACUUAAUAUAAUUUAGAAACUUUAAAUUAUUUAAUAUUUGACAAUGACGAUAUAAACACACAAAUUUUCUUGUAUCACUAUUGCCAAAUAUCAAAUAAUUUAAUAUUUUGAAGUUAUAUUAAGUUGUAAGUAGUGUUAAAAAUUAUUAAUUUAGGAUGUAUAAAUUAAUUUUAUAAUAAAUUAAUGUAUGAAAAUUUAUAAAUUAGUUUUAAAGGCUUAUAAAUAAAUCUAAAACAAUGUAUAAACGAUAAUAAAAUAUUUUAAAACAUUUAAUGAUUUUUAGUGAUAAAACUUUUCAACUAUUUUUGAGUCGUAAAAAAACCUUCAACUAAGUUUUCAACAUUAUAAACCUUCAACAUAUAAACCGUUAACAUAUGUCACCUUUCGUCACGGUUUUUAGAUGGAAGGUACAUAUGUUAAGGAAAUUAAAAUUGAGAGUUUAUUUCACUAGAUUUUUAGUUGAGUGUUUUUUUGCGAUUCAUCUUUAGUUGAAGAGUUUAAUUACUAAAAAUUAUUUUAAAAAUAUUUGUUAAAAUAAAACAUUUCUCUUUUAUUAUUCAUUUUUUUUAAAAGAAAAUACAAACAUUUGUGGGAGAGCUCGUGUCAUUAAAAGCAAGAUAUGGUGGUACAAAUUUUAUAUUAUAUAGAAAUAUAAAUUAUUUGCAACGUCGUUUUAGGUAAUUUUAUUGUAUACAAAUUUACGCUUUAAUAAUUUAGAAUAAUGUAGAGUUUUAGUCAAAUUAUAAUACAUUUAGUUAGCGAGUACAUCAUCUUAAAAACUCUUUUUCCAUUUCUAUAGUUGACUAGUUCACAGACAUUUUUAAUAACAUGUACUGUUUGAUGUUAAAAAGUACCAUCUAUUAUUUUGAACGUUAAGAAUCAAAAUUAUAACAGAGAAACAGAAUUAUAUCUAAUUGUUAUUUUACAGAAAUUUUAUAUUGUCAUUUCUGGCCUCAACUAUUCAUAUGCUUUUUUACUUCUAUUUUUUCCAAACUUUAUUUUCGUCGGCAAUUUCCAAACUUAAUAUAUCGUUUCACUAAUUGAAUAUAAUUAUAUUUUGAAGAAAAAGAAACAGAAGGAGAAUCAUUGAGGAGGAUGACGGACAUGAUGCAUUUCUUCUGUUGUUUUGUUUUAAAUUAAAGAUCUCAUAACUCCAAACAAAAACGAAAGAAAAGAAAUCAUUAUAAUGUUGCAAUAAUGUUCGAAAUUAUAAGUGUUGCAAUACUGUUUUGAAGUUCAAUUGUUCAAGUAUGUAAUCAACCUAGCAUAAUCCUUCUGUCUCAAAUCAUUAUUCUCACGAUUGGCAUUGUCCUAAUACCCACUUGAUUUUCUUUUGUUAAAACGCAACCCUUAGCCAAUGAAAUGGAGAUAAAUAUAUUUAAUAUACGCAAACAAUGUAUGUUCUAUAUAACUUAGUAACUAUGAUUCUAGUCGGAGUUCAUAUGAUUGAAGCUAGGAUAUUUUGGUUAUGCAUCAUAGGUUUCCACGUUUAAGUAUAUCGCGAAGACCACUCCACCAAAAUUGUGGUCCAUCUGUACAAAUUUACCAAUCUUCUCUAUUAAAAGAAAAAAGUAUCAUUUUUAUCUACCAUAAAAAAAGUUAUACUAGUUUUAUUAGAUCCAUUUUAUUAAUUACAUUUAUUUAAUUAUUUACAUUAAUCUAUUAAAUAUAUAAAGAUAUUAAUAAUAAAUCAAUUUUAACUGUAAAUUUAAAUUUUAUUUUUAGUUAUAACAAAAUAUUGAGAAAAAUCUAACAAAAUCUUUCUAAAAAUUUAAAAUAUUUUAUUUAAAUUAAUACUAUUGAUUAAUUUCGUAAUUAAUAAUAUAUACUAUUGUACAUUACUUUAAAUAGUAUUUUAUUAUAAAACAAAAUAAAAUAAAAGUGUAUGCUAUUUUUCAAAUUUUAUAAUUAUAUUCUAUAUCUUCUUUAUUAAAACAAAAUACUAUAAAAAUCAUACUAGGUUAUUUCAUCAAUUACAUCUAUUUGAUUAUUUAAGUUAAUCUAUUUAAUAUAUAACAUUUCUAAAAACUCUUAUAAAUUAUAUAGAUAUUAAUAAAUAAAUUUUAACUGUAAAUUUAAAUUUUAUUUUUACUUAUAACAAAAUAUGAUGGAAAAAAUCUAACAAAAUCUUAAUAAUAUUUUUUAAUAUUUUUAAAUUAAUGCAGCGAUUGAUUUCAUAAUUAAUAAUAUAAUAUUAUUAUAACCUAUUUACUUAUAAAAUCCCACAAUAUACUAAAAUGAAUAACAUAGAAAAUAUAAAUUUUGCUAAGAAAAUAUCAGUUCUAUAGUAUAACUAAAUAAAUUUUAAAAUGUAUCGUAUUCAAUAUGUAAAAAAUUAGAAAAAAAUGAAGAAAAUUCUCAAUUUGUUUAUUUCAUACUAUGAAUUUAUUUGAUCAAACUCGAAAAUAUAUUAAUAUAUAAUAAAAAUUAAGAAUAAAGUAAAAUGUAUAAAAUAAAUUAUUAUACAUUAAUAAUAUCGAAUAAGAAAUAUAAUCAAUAACAUUAUAGAUUUACACAGUAUAUAACAUUAAAAUGUAAAUUAUAUAUUUGAAAGUUUUGCGAUAGUAUAUGUUAUAUAUUUAUAAAAUAAAAAUCUACUCGCACAUAUAAUAAAUCUAGUCUAUAUAAUUAUAGAACGAUAGUUUAUACUUAUGAAUAUAUUGUAAUUUUCUAAUUCGGUUAAAUUUAUUUAUAGAGACUAUGGUUGUGAAUUGUAUAUAAUGUUUGAAAACAAACUCCGAGGUUUCAGAACUAUUGGAGUAGCUUGGAAUUGUCAAUUUGAGAAUUUAUUUAUUUCGAUUAAUUUGGGAUAUCUUAUAUUUAAAAGAGUUCAGACAAAUUUCGAGAAAAGAUACUGUCUAUAGAUAAAUCUGUCUGUUCAAAUAUAUAUAUAUGAGAUAUAUAGACCAUGACUCAUAUCUAUGUGACCACGAAAUCAGUUCUGGUGGUGUAUUUUUAACUCUGGGUUAUUUAUUUCCAAAAAUUUAAUUACCACUAUACUGUCACUUUGUAGUUAAAUCAAUUCAAAAUUUCAGAUAUUUGGUGCUGUCAUAAUUAAACUAUAUCAAUGCAUGUUUUUAUACUAAUUAUAUAUAAUAAAAUACUGCUAACAUAUCUCAUCUCUUUUUCUCAAAAAAACUUGCAUGCUUUUAUACUUUAUAAGUUUAUAUAAUAAGAUACUGCUAACAUAUGUUACAUAUCUCAUCUACUUUUCAAAAAAAAAAUAUACAAUCUCAUCACUUUAUAAAUAAAUAUAUAAUAAGUCUCAUAGAAAUUACAAAAAAAUAGAUAAGUCACAUAGAAAAUGCCAAGAUUAUGUUUUCCUGUUAUGCUGUAUAGAAAAGAAUAGUAAAACCAUUUUACCCACAUGCAAACAAACAAUACUAUUUGAAAUGAAUGUGGAGCGUAAGAAUUAAUAAACCAUGUAUUAUUUGAUGUCCACCAGAAAUUGAUGUCUACCGUUAGGUAAUUUAAACGCAAGGAUUUUAUCAAACAUUCUGACUAUCUACGAAUUUUUGUCGAUGCCUUCGAUUUCUUUUUUUGAAUAUAGACUAUAUAUUUAGGAGAUUUCCAAAACCAUGAUUUCAACCAUUUUAUAAAUUAUAUGAUAUAUUUAGAAAAAUCAAAAUGAUAAAAAAAUUAAGAGUAGAAAUGGAAACUCUCUAAAUUUUUUGGGUGUAGCAAUAAUAGAAGACUAGAUUUUGAUCCGCGCUUUUAAAGCGCGGCUUUAUUAUUAUUUUUUUCAAUUGCCAAAUAUUUAGUAAAUGUCAUAUUUUUAUAUAUUUUUGUUUUAUUUUAUAAAAGACUUAAAUUUUUUAUCUUUAUUUAUCGUAUUUUAUUUUAAAUGACUAUUUAUGUUUUAAAAAUUAAACUUUAUUUUUUAAUAAAUUAAGUUGGUAUAACUCUGAUAAAUUAAUUUUAUUAUGUGGUUAAUAUUUUAAUAAAAAAAAUUAUAUACUUUUAAUAAAAGAGUUAUACUUUUCAAUGCAAAAUUUAAUUUUUUUUAUGAAUGCAUAAAUUAUAUUUAGAAAAGAAAAAAAUAAUAAUUAAGAAUAGUUGAAAAAAAAUAUUUAAACUUGGACUCAAUGGCCCAAAGGAAAAAAAAUGUGAGAAUUGAAUCUGAUUUUUUAGUCAGACCAAAUGGCCCAAGAGAGAUCUGAUAUGGGCUGGAUCCGAAAAAAUGAUCCAAUAUAAAUGUGUGAUUAAUAUUACUUUAUUUCCCUUAAUGAAACAUGCAAUGUUAAUAAAGAAAAGAGUAUGCUAAGGUAAAAAAGACAAUAAAAUUCUGUUUUAAUAGUAUAGAUACAAUAUGAAGUGAGGCAUAAAUUAUUGAAUUCACAAACCCAUAGAGUAAUGCUCAUACUCAGUUGAACCAACCUGUAGGAGUUGGUAUUAUAUUUAACAGGUCAUGGUUUUGUAGAAAGGUGGACUCUUAAGAUUAUAUGUCAAGAGGGGUAUAAAUAUGCAAGGAAGUCGGUCACUAUUUCAUGCGGAAAGUGAAGCAUUGAUAUGGAUCACAGAGUGUAUAAAGCCUUGUAGAUAAUGGUAGUGAUAUUUGCAAUUGACUUUUCUCAAUUAAUUAAAUUGGUGUAUAUAUUCCAUAGAACUGGCCGGUUUUUACUAUCCACAUAAAAAAAUUCAGUGAUAUAAUUAAUUUUUUUAUUUAUUCUAAAACUCAAUAUAUACCGAGAACAAAGAAUACUACAACUGAUAAGCAUGUACACGAUAUUCAAAAUCAACAUUCAGUUAUGUUAUAUGUUAAUUUUGCAGUACGUACCGAUCUGGUUAUCUGACUCAGAAUUUAUUUGAGUUUAAAGUAAUUUUUUGUUGUAAAAAGAACAACAGUAUUGAGUGGAACUGGAAUCCACAUAAAGCAUAUUUGUUUUCUUUAUUAAAUACAGUUAUAUACUAAACAGAAAAUUCGCUGAUACGAGAGCUUUUAGUUUACCGAAUACAUAUAUUUUUGAACUUUUGCUGAACACGUAACCUUUACUAUUUAAUUAUCCAUUUUAACAAAAAAUUUUUUUUGAUAAAUGCUAUCGGCUGAUCCGGUCGGUCCCGGGAAGAACGCACUUAGUGUUAUAGAGUGAACUAGUCCGAAAUCGUACCUUACUCCUAACUAUUUUAACAAUUAUUCUAAUGUAUAUGUACGAAAUUUGUUACUGUAUGUUACUCUACAUAGAUUGCGAAAAUUGAAGGGAUGAUGGAUAUUAAAUAAUGUAUAAUAGCAAAAUACAAUGAAUAGUCUACUCCUACGCGACAAGUACACUCAUUAUUGAGCUGCUAACCAGAUUGGUUUAGUUUAGUAAUACAACAAUUGGAAAUAGUUAGAUUGAUUAUUGAUCUAGUUGGUUCAGGCUGUACCUGUACGAUUGAACAUUGUUUAUAGAUUUUUAGUGUAUAAUGUACGAUGGAUGACAAUGAGUGGUGUACAAAUAGGAAUAUCACAUAAAAUAGUAACAAUUUAUAGUCAGUUUUAACAAAAAGAUUUUUUAUAGUGAACAGUAUAUGAGAAAUGAAGGGUGUGAGUAAUGAACCCUACACUACAAAAAAAGAUGUGAAUUGUAUCACUUAAAUUGUAUCACAAAUUUAAUGAUACAAUUUUCAAUCAUUUAUUUGUAAAUGACACAAAAUAUAGAUAAUUUAGCAUCAGUUGUAACAAUUGAUGUCAUUAUUAACUAAUUUAACAUCACUUUGACUAAUUGAUAUAUUUUUUCUUAAUUCGUGUCACUUUAAUAAAACCGAUGCUAUGGUAUUAAGUUAUAUCAUUGAUGUAAGUUUAUUCAGGAUUAAAAUCAUUUACGCAAAUAGUGAACAAACUAUGCAGGUUUUUUCACAAAUAUUUUGAUACGGUUAAUAAUAAGUGACAAAUGUCUUUCUCGAACACUAAAAAUAUAUAAAUACAUAGGUAUAUGUGGAAAGGUAAUACAACAUCGGAACAAUUGUAAUGCAAUUUUAAUAGUAGCAAAAAUAUAUAAAUAUAUAGGUAUAUAUAGAAAUUUUUGUUAAUAUAAACAGCAGUGUGGACGGUACAGUGCUAAAAAAAAGUUAGAGCAACCUUAUUUGCAUAAUAUUCUAUAUUAAAUAAAAAAAAGUAAUAUGGAAUAUAAUAUUACUUGAUUGUAUAAUAAGAAUUAAGAGGAUUAGUGAAUAUAUAUAUAUAUCUAUAUAUGGCCACUAUACGUAAUGACAUUAGCUGAAAACAAAAUGUAAUAAUAUAUAUAUGUUAUUAAGAGAAAAAUAUCACUGCUUAAGUAAGUUUGUAAACGUACUUAUUCACAAAUAGUUCAAUAAUAACCGGGCUUCGUGAUCUGGUGGUAAAAGAACCUCGGCUAAGGUGUCUGUCAUCACAAGUUCGAGCCCUGGCUACAGCGGAUUUAACAUGGUUUCUGUUUGGUCUCCAAGAUCUUCCUUGCCAGUUCCGGUUGGACGCGGUGAGAUAGUCGGACUAAGUGAGAGGUCCGGAUACCUCGAUUAUCAAAAAAAAAAAAAAAAAGUUCAACAAUUAACUCAAUAUAUGUCAACUACCCGAUAAACAUGAUACAUAAAUGAAUAACUGAUAGACAAUCGAUCUGCUAAACGAGAUAACUAUUAAAUUGUCAAUGUCAGGAACUGGUGGAACAUAGCGUCAGUGGAACAUCGCGUAAGCGGACUGUGGACCGACAACUUCACCGCGUAAAUAGAGCAAGCAUGCAUUAGUUUAAAAAAAGUUUUCAAAGUAAUGAAACUAAUUGCUAUCAAUUUUUGAUAUAUAACAAUCAAUAAUUAACGUACGUUAUAUUAGGAACUAUCAAUUAUUUUUGUUCAACAUAGAGCUAUCAAUUAAAUUAAUAAAUUUAGAACAUUUUUUUAAUUUUCAGUAGAAUCAGUAAGGUAACCUGGGCAUGUCUGCUCAUCAAGUUAAUUAGCCGUCAUAAAUUUCUCCAAAAUAUAUGUCAAGUUAGAUUGAAAGUCUUACAAUUCUGUACACUUAUUGACAUAAGCAAAUUAAAAAUUUAUUAAUCGAUUACCAUGUGGUAUAACUUCUUACAAUAAAUGUUUAUUGUAUAUAUUUUCUUGUAGAAUAAACAUUUAAAGGUGUGGCCGGUGACAAAGAAAUGCGAAAGAAGAUUCAAUUUCUUAUGGUUCUUAUAUAAUUACAUCAUUCAUAAGGAAUUUUUUUUUUUUAUAUUCCUUCUCGCUCUUUUUUUUGUAGAGAAUAAUAUAAAAAAAUUGUUCGUCACUUUUUUUGGGAAAGAACACUCAUUCAAGCUCAUUCCCAUUAUUUUAUUCUUCUUUAUUUCUUUUUUAUUUGUUCGUAGUGUUCCUCAAAUGGUCACCAAUCAGAACUUUUUGAUUUGUGAAAAAGGUAAAAUUAUUAGAAAAAUUGGGCUGUAUGACAAGGAAAAAAAAACAUAAUUGGAUAAAUAGCCAAAUACUCUAUCUUUUCUAUACAUACAUUUUCUUUUAUGUAAUCUUGCUGUUUUGCCCCCAAAACCAACCGGUGCAACCUGCAAGAAAGAAAUCAAAAAUUCCUAUUAGUUGUGCACAAAGUAACUCGUGGCAUUUUUAGAAUCACAUCAUCUCUUUCACUAUACUAUUUUAUCAUGUCUCACUCCAUUUGACGGUUAUUAUUUAUUUUAUUUAGAUAUAUAGAUUUUAAUUUUAUUAAGUUAUAACUAUCGUUACAUGUUUUUGAACCUGUAAAAAUCGUACUAGAUCAAUAUUGUGUAGUUUAAUAUUACUUAAUAUAAUUUAAUAUUACAUAAUAUUAUGUACCCUUUAGAUUUUAAUAUUUUGGUUUAGGGUUCAUAUUUGGGUUAGGAUUUAGUGAUUAUAGUUUACGGUUUAGUAUUUAGAAGGUGAGAGGGUAUGGUAGAGACCAUAAUUAACUUCUUCCAUGUAAUCAUAGACAUUUCAUAAUUUCACAAAUAUAUACUAUGUUAUUUAUUUUGUUCCAUUUUAUUUAGGUUUAAAGUUUAUAUUUAGGUAAGAGUUUAGUGAUUGGAGUUUAGGGUUUAGUAUUUAUAAGGUAAGAGGGUAUGGUUGGGGUCAGCAUUAACUUAUUCGAUGCAAUUGUAGAUAUUUCAUAGUUUCACUAAUAUGUACUAUAUUAUUUAUUUUGUUCAAUUCUAUUUGGAUUUUGGAUUUAUAUUUAGUUUUAUGGUUUAUAUUUGGGGUUAGGGUUUUCUGAUUAAAAAUUAGGGUUAGUAUUUAGGGGUUAGGGUGAGAUAAUAGAUUGGGUUGGGAUAUGUUUAGUAUUUAGGGAUUGUAGGUUAAGAGAUAAUCUUAUACUACUUCGGUGAUAUGGAAUAGCACACUUUGUAAAUAUAUGAUAUGACCCUAAAGGUGUACGUGGAUGGCUCUUUCUUCUUUCAUUUGGAAUAGUAUUCAUGUGCUACUUUACAAAAUGCAACUGACAACGUGUUACUUGAAAUAGCAUAACCGGAUGUAUUGUGUACAAAAAGUUUGACAUUUAAUUAUGUCAAAAUCAAUGCUAUUCACUUAAUUUCACACUCAAAUAUGGCUAUUUCACCAAUAAGCCCAAACUAUUAUUAGGUAGCACGUAAACUUCAUCAGAAGUCUAUUUCCCACUUCGUAACUGGAAUCAAGAUCGGAAACUUGUGGAAGUUUCCGGAGGUUUUCAUUAUGCUUCCAAAAAUAUGUAUUUAAAAAUACGUUGAAAACUUACGCUUCCGUUUUAGGAAUCACGCUUCGAUUUUAUAAACUUAGUUUCAGGAAUAAAUAGAAAAUAGAAAAUUAUAUUUUCAUUUUCUAUUUUCUACAAAAUUAAUAAAAUUAAAAUAGAGAUAAUACAUAUGCAAAUAUCAAAAGUAAUAUUAUAAAUGAUCGUUGUGCAUAAUAUUUUUUUAUGAGAGAUCUUGUAUACAUAUUCAAAUAUUUUAUAACAGAUCUUUGUGAACUAUUAAAAAUAAUUAAUUUGAUAUUACUGAAAUAUUAUGCAAGAUCACUUAUAAAAGAAAUCUGUCACAAGAUAUUUGAAUAUAAAUAAUUUGAUAUUACUGAAAUUUGAUCAAAUAUAAAUAAUUUGAUAUUAAUUAUUUUUAAUAGUUCACAAAUAUCUGUCACAAGAUAUUUGAAUAUAUAUGCAAGAUCACUUAUAAAAAAAAUAUUAUGCACAACGAUAAUUUUAUAGUAUUAGUUUUGAUAUUUGCAUAUAUAUUAUCUCUGUUUUAAUUUUAUUAAUUUUGUUUUUAUAUAAAAUAAAAAUAUAGUUUUAUAUUUUCUAUUUAUUCAUGAAACUAUGUUUUUAAAAUGGAAGCGUGAUUCCUAAAACGGAAGCGUAAAUUUUUAACGUAUUCUUAAAUACAUAUUUUUGGAAGCGUAUAGAAAUCGAGAUUCCGAGAACUUUCAUAAAUUUUGUUACCGGUUACAAAGUGAGAAAUAGACGUCUAAUGAAGCUUCCGUGCUAUCAAGUAAUAAUUUUACCUCUUUCACAAAUCAAAAGGUUUAUUCUAGAUUCGGUUCCAAGAAAAUAUAUACAAUAAAAAUUUUUGUAAGAAGUUAUAGCACAUGGUAAUCGAUUAAUACAUUUUUGAUUUGCUUAUGGCAAUAAGUGUACAGAAUUGUAAGACUCUGAAUCUAACUUGACAUAUAUUUUGGAGAAAUUUAUGACGGCUAAUUAACUUGAUGAACACCAUGGUCCCAGAAUGGGACCAGUACAAGCCACUUGAAUUAGAUUUGUAUUUUGUUCUUGAAUGUGUUUAUGUCUUUUUAUAACGUAACAAAAUGAUUUUAAAGACAAAAACAACAAAAUAGUAUCAUUAUCAUUAGUCCCACUGAAAAUUAAACACAUUAAAGAAAGAAAUAUAAAUAUAAUAGCUAAAACAAAUAAAAGAGGACACCUGUCAAUUCACAUGAAAAAAGAAACCCAACAAUGAAAAAAUAAAAUUGAUAAAGAAAUAUUUAAUUAUUUUCUUCUUUCAUAAUUAUUUUUUUCUUUCAUCAUAUUUGGUUUUACUCUCUCUCUUUUUUACCCACCCUUUCUUGUUACCCUAGUUUACCGUUAUAUGGACUUCUACGUGAACAAUUCUGACUGCAACAACGUGUAAUAGUUAGCAGCUUCAUCCUCGAGCUCCCAAAGCCCAUCACCAAACCCAUCUAAUAAACUGAACCCAUUAAUGUAAUCCUGAUUACUUUCAUUCUUAACCACCUCAUAAUUACUCUCGCCAAAUUUAGUGUUAGGUAUUCCUAGUUCGUCGUCAGAAGCUUCUAAAAGAUGCUUCAUCACCUUCUCCUUAUCGCUCUCGUAUUCUUCAUCCUUUGAAGCGCACGAAGAGGACGAAGAGCAAGAAGACGAAGAGAGAGCAGGAAUCUCAAAUACGACAGCGUUUUGCUCCUCCGUAGAAAGUUCUUGCUGCAGUGUGGUGAAUUGGGAAGUUAAAUCAUUGCCUGCUUCUGCAUCAUCUAAGAAACAUUGAACUUGAUUGUAUGAAGUAUAAAACGAAGAAGGCUUUUGUUUUUUUGUAUCUUCUUGGGGUAUGGUUUCUUGUUCUUGCUCGUCUCUCUGACGUUUGAGUGACGAUAAUGUUGCUGUUUCUGCCAUUUUUUGGAGAUAGAGAGAGAUUACAGAGGUGUAGUAGAGAGGUGUAGCUUUAAAAUUUGUGAGGUGUUCUGUGGUUUGAUGAGAGAGAGGCGGAGGCUAAAAAUGUUUAUAUAGAGAAAGGUUGUGGCUAAAAUGGUAUUUUUAUGUAAUGACGUGAUUUAGUGUUAAACAUAAAAUAUUAAGAAGUAAUUUCAAGGUUCGUGUAUGCAGGAGACAGACACGUGAAAUGCUUUUUCCUUUUUCGCAUAACCCGGAGAGAAAUUAUAAUAUAUUUUUUAACCAGAAAUGAUAAUUUAAAUGGUCUACACUUUAUCAUCUGGUCAAGAGUAUUUAUAUAAGCAUCGUUUUAAUAUCUAUAUAUAUAUCAAUGAUAGUUAAAAAGAGAUCGCCGCCCGUGAAGACAUCGUAGAUCUCAUCUCACUCUGGCCGUGACGGCGCGUGCGUCGGUUACGGCUCCGUUGGUUCUUGUUUCUUUGCCCCCUGCCAGCUCUCUUCUCCUUCGGUGAUAUGCUUCUCGCCCUGGUGACGGAAGUUGACGGAGUCAUUCAGAUCUGGUCGUCAGAUCUCGAUUUGAAGCUUCUCUCUUUCCGUCUGGAGUGAAGGUGAGUUGUAGGAGCUUAGGAGGGUCUGUAGGGGGUCGGAUUUAGUUGGCUUAGGGUUUGGUGUCCCAAUUUUCUCUGUUCGGUGAGGCCCAAACCCUAGCAGUGUCAUUGGUGAUGGCCAUUGAGGAGGGAUGCGUGAGGUUUAGCUGCGGUUGUGGUUUGGAGUUUUGCUUAGUCUUGGGAGUGCAGUCUCGGUUCGUUGGAGUCAUCUCCGGUGGUUGUUUGAUCUUUGAUGGGCAGAGCCUGUGCGUGCGAUUCUUUAGCUUUGAGAGGAUCAGAAGGAGAUAGCUGUGUAACAGAACAAAUGCUUCAUUGUUGGUCGAUUUCCGCCGAGGUGAUCGUUUUAGUCUUGGAUUUGAAGUGGUUUUUAUCCAGUUACCGGCUGUGUGAAUAAGUCGUAAUCAUGAAGUUCCUAAAAGUUUUUACGGCAAGGAGUUGGUGCGUAUGAGGCGCGUAGAGAGCCCUCUCAAGGUCCAAUGGCGAGUUGAAGUUGGGAUUGAAGAGUGUGUUCAGCUACGGUUAAGGAUUCUAACCUCUCUCGAUUCAGUUUAUGUUUUGGUGAUGUUCUUGUUCUUCCAGUCUACCUCUUUGUUCUUCUCAGCGUGUGUUAAUUGUGAUUGAGUUUCCGGUAGUUCUUUGUGUGGUGUUGGAGCGGGUUUCGCUGUUGGAAGCGCUCUUGGAUACUACCUUGAAACUCAGUUAAUUAGGUGUGCACUGAUCCCACUCUCUAAUCAUCGUCCGUAUCCAGUCAACUUCACCAUUGUUGCAGUCUCAUGUAUCUUAACCAUCCUCCUCUUAUGUGCUUUCAUCUUCUAGUCUAGUUUCUAGUUUCAAAUUUGUAUCACUCUGUGCCUCCGGAUGGUGUUCAUCACCUCACCGGCUUAUGGCUCCAGAAAGGUUUAAUCACCUUUGCUGGCUUUGUGUACUCCCCUUUCAAGUUAAUAUAAAUCUACCAGAUGACAAAAAAAAAAAUCUAUAUAUAUAAAGAAAUGUUCGACUCUCUCCCGUGAAUCCACGUCAUCAAUUUGUGCGUUUUGGGAGUGACACGUGUCCCAUUUCAUAUUUAGGGUCAAAAUAAAUGAAUGUAGUUAAUGGUAAUUGAACCCAGCACCUCUAGCACUGGUAAUUUCUCUUAGAACCACUAGGCUAAAGUCACUUUUUAUAAAUAUGUGGCCGCGAAAAUACUUAUUAUCGUGUCAGCUGGAAGCCCAUGCUUCUUCUGCUUGUGGCCAGGGCCGACACUGAACUGACAUCAAGAUGAAGAUAGUGAAGUUAAAAACUUUGCUCCAAACAGUUUUGCAAUGUUUCCAACCUUUAUAACUUGAUGCAUAUAAUAUAUAUCAAAAUACAUUUGUUGUACACGCUUUUAUUAGUUUUGCUUUUAAAAGAAGGUAUUUACAGUUAUAAAUGUUUUGUGCCAGUGAAGUAAUGGUUGAAAAACCUCUAUACAUAUGUCAUUUUAAAAUAACACCCAACUUCUAUAUAUAGUCAAUACAUAUGUCCAUGUUAUAUUAUAGACUAAAUAUUUUCUCUUUUAAAAAUAUAGAAAACAGUUUUUUUAGUUUACAAGCAAAUGUUGUAGAGCAAGUAUGCAUUAUACAAAAUAAUAUAUAUUUAAAAUCCAUACGCAAAAACAUCAAAGUUGUUAUAGGUCUCUUUCUGACACAUGCACACUCCACUAUGAAUAAAAAUUAAAAAGAAAAAACAGUAUUGUCAUCAAACUUUAUCACAAAUCCACAUUUGUACAUCUAUAAUUAUGAGUUGGACAAUUAGUUAAUUUGAUACAAUACCAAAACAAGAAUAAUCGAAAAACAACUAUACCACCGUAUACUAAUAAGUAAGACAUAACAGAUAACCAAAUUCUUGAAUCUUAAAACAAAUUUCAACUCGAGCAUUUAGUGAAUAUCAAAUUAACUAAUAUCCCGUCCGUAGGGUGGGCCGACCCUAGUUUUUAUUAAAAUAAUUUCUAGAUCUUAACGCAUAUAGUACUUAUGGCUUCAAAAAUUAACAGUAACAAAAAUCUUUACAUAUACUAUAUAUUUAUAUGUUUUUAUAACUGUUAAAACUGCAACACAGUUAAACCGCUUGUUUCGCACCGCUCAAACCGCAGUUAUCGUUCGAAGCCUAUAAAUUAUAAUCUCUCUUUUAAAUAAGGAUUUGCAUUUCAUUCCAAAAAGAAAAAGGAUGCGGCCAUAAUCACUCAAGGUAUCUCGGUUUUGACCCAAUAACAGAAACUUGAUCAGCUAAAAUCAAUAGAUUGUGAAUUAGGUAUAACUGGUUUCUCUGCUACCACCCGCAAACAUAUUUUGCAGUUGUUGGCGUUUUGCGACAAUCACUCAAAUCGUUUUUAACCGUUUCAAAUCGCUUCAAACUGUUCUAAACCUCAUAAACUCAAAAGCUGGUUCCUGCUAGCAUUUGCGGAAAGAUUUUUUUUCUUUUGAAAAAAAUAAUAUAAACACAAAAAUAAAAAAAAAUAUAUAUAUUUUUUUAAAUUGGAAUUAUAAAAAUACUAAAAAUAUAUCUAUUAUAUUUCAACUAAUAUUAUAAAAUUUUAAAAUAAAAUAUUUUCUAUAAUUUAAAAAUUUUAAACUAUUACUUUCUGAAAAUGGUUAGUGUUCCUUGACCUCUCUCUUCUAGAUCAUCUCACGCUUCAUCUUUGGAUGAUGAUUAUAAGUUUAGAUAAACUUGUGGAGAACAAGCUAUUUCGGAGACGUCAUGAGAAGACCCUCAUCCAAAGAAAUGAGGAGAAUCCCUUCUUCUUGUGGGUUCCUCAAUGGCCGAGAACGGAAAUUGAUGCUCGUGGAUAUUAGAUCCGGUUUAGCGGAACGUCUAAGAUUAUAGGUCGAACAAAGCUAAAUAAGAAACAAUUUGAAUUUGGUGCUUUUGUGUUAAUGGGCUCAUAAUCGGAACCUUAUUUUUGAAUUUUCGGAUUGUUUAAUACUAUAUUUUUAUUUUUUUUAAUAAUUGGGACGAAAAUUAUGAAGUAUUCCGACAAAUAUAAUUAAAGCUCAUAAAUAGAAAGUACUGUUGAGAAAAAUUGUUCAGUGUGGUCUGAAAAAUGUAACUGCCGUGGCCUUGCAAAUAAUUGUAAGAAAACGAGAUAUAAAAAUCAAAGAAAGAUACUCCUUGUUUUAAAACUAAUUUUUUGCAACAACUGAUUUUUCAUAUUUAGUUUUCAGUUGAAUUUAUUUAUCUUAUCUAUUAAAAUAGAAGUCACAACUUACUUUAUGUGUAAUUUUUUUAAGUUGGAUCACCCAUUAAAAAAUUUAUCUAAAUAUUUUGUAUUUCUGUUAUCUUUGUAAUCUUUCAUUUAUGAAUUAUAAAAUUCCCCAUAUAUUUAGGAAAUAUUAAAAUUUAAAAAAUAUCUUUUACUAAGUAAUAUCUUAACAAAUCUAAUAUAACAAUAGAUAUUAUUUGUUUCCUAUUUUGAAGUUUUUACAUAUUUGAUCAACCUCAAUUUAACACAUUAUUCAUUUCAAUCACACUUUAUUUAGCAUGUCCAUUAUAUAUUUACUUUAUUAACUAAUUUUUGCAAAAAAACAUUAUUUUCCCAAGAAUGUUUGUAUACGUGUUCAUUUCAUUUUGUAAUGCAUAAUAGUUUAUUAAUGUUAUGACAUGUUUAUAAUGUCAUGUUUGAGUAAUAUAUUUUAUUAAAUCUGAAUUAUCAUUUGAAAAAAUCCUUUGCUUCAUCUGAUAAAUUGCAAUUCCUACCACUACAUUUAAACCACUUUUAAUAAUAUCAAUCUAAGUUAAAUCAAAUCGUUUGUAUCUAAACAUAAUAUUCCUUAGAAAAUAUACUAUCAAAUAAUUGGAAAUAAUUACCAUUAUUCACUCUUGCAAUCUAAACAUAUUCGUGGAUUGAAUACUCUAUAUACACUAAUAUGCUUACGAAUUUGUUUAUUUAAAAAAAUGAGACAUUACCUUAUACUUAUUCCGGUAUUUCAAGUAUAUCUACACUUUUAAAAUAUUUUCUACUACCCAUCUAUAUUGCUCAUCCGUUUACUAAUUAAUGAUCCAUUUGCAAUUCAUAUGAAACAUGUCUAAUCCAAAAAGUAUAUCUCUUCUUAAUUAACACAAAUUUUUUUAUUUUGCUAAAAUAUUCUUCAACCAAACUUAUAAUUAUUCUCUAACCGAAUUAUUUUCUAACCACUUUUACAAUAACUUUCAAUUUAUCAUAAAUGUUAUAUAUUACAAAUCAAAUCAAGCUCUAGUUUAUACCUAGAUGGUAAGAAAGACAAAAGAAAAAGUAAUACGUGUUUUUUUUUUAAGAAUGAAAAGUAAUAAUAAUAAGUUGUUGAUAUGGAGAUUUGGUAAAUAUAUUUGGUUGUGUCAUCUGCCGUUGAUUAGCGUUUGAGAAGCAGCUUGUAAACUACGAUCGUGGUCUCACGACUGUGGCGAUUUAUUUUCUGUCCAAACAGAUACUUAUCGUUUACAUGGACGAUGCAUAUUAAUCAUCACCUCAACUAUUUCGACUUCGGUGAAAAAAAACAAAAGAACAAAACUAUAGCUCUGAAACGUUCGCCAUAAUAUAAUGUAUUAACAAACGUCUUUGAAUUGGUCGUUGUAUUCAUAUAUAGUUAUCUUAUCGAAUUAAAUUAUAUUCCACAUAUAUUCAACUUAGAACUGAUUUUUUUUAAUUAUUGUGUUUAUUAAUAUAUCGAAUAUUAAUUUAUUGAGUUUCUAUAAUGAAUCUUCACCUAAUCGGCUUAAGCAAAAAACUUGAUUGAAUGUACCAUCAAAAUUGGAUAUAAUAGAGUCUGAACCAAAAUCAAAUUGGUUCCAGGUUGUACUGAUCUCAAGGCUAUGUGUGAAAGAGAUUAUGUUAAAAUGAAUUAAACCAAAAAUAUAUUGGUUCAUUUCAAAUGAAAACAAAGCUAUCGUACUGAGUCAACAACAAACUCCAGAUACUUUAAAGUAACUAAAUCUGAAAAUUCAUUUCAGCAUAUGAAUGGAGCAACCACAUUAGUAUCACUGCAAUAGAACCCGUUUUGUUAUUAUAAAAUUCAUACUCAAGAAGCUCUCUCACACCUAAAAACAGUUACUUGUUUGUGAUCUUCUACUUAUUGUCUCACCAAGUAUGAUAUGUAUUGAAUCAGGGAUGUUCCAUAGGCUUGCCCCUUGGUGCGUACUCUGAAGUUUAAUCAGUCAGACAUCCACUAAGCUAAAGAUCUUCUCCAAACGCAUGUAAAAGAAUCCUUCAGAUGUUCCCAGCUUCUAUAUUAUCCUUCCAUGUUUCUUGCCUUAGAAUAUUGAUCAUGCUCUGCAGAGACAUCUUUCAGUCUAUCUAACAAAACCCAUCCAAAAUACUCCCAUAUACACUCACCAGGCGUUGUUUCAAGUACAAAAGAGAGCAUACCUGAUAAUCAUAAAGACCUGUUCGCCUCUCAUUUUCAGAAACAUUACCUCUGCAGAAAAAAAGACACGGUUUCGUGGAUGUGUUUAGGACGAUUAUAGAGACGGCGGCGUCGGGCUUCCAGCUUGCCGAUUCCAUUCAUUCACUGUGUUGACUAAAUCCGUACGGAUCUCAACAUAAAACCUAGAAUCUGAACGAAGUUGACUAAAUCCGUACGGAUCUCAACAUAAAACCUAGAAUCUGAACGAAAAGUGGCUUAAAUGCAAAUCUGGAGGAACAGAUUCAACUGAUAUGUUCAUUAACGCUGCAAGCCAGCGUUGAUGUAAGCUGCGUAAAGAUCCAUGCGUUUACAUCAAAACAUUACAUUGUUUGCUGUGAUUAAGGUAACAGAGUAAACGUGUAAAAUACGCUGGUGUUUUGCAGAAAACAAACUUACAUGGUGCCCUUAAUUGCAUCUAUGGCAGCUUGGGCUGAGAGGAAACCUUCAUCGUCCACUGUAGGUUACUAAUAUAUGCAUAUUUCAUUUAAAGCAAUCCAAAUAUAUGGGUAAAACAUUAUGUAAGCUAAGCAGCCACAAUAAAGCCCAACAAUUCCUCAUUUCAAACCUCUUUCGUUGUAAGUUGCGAAAUAAAGUAGUUAACCUGACACUGUGGCAAUUCAAUUCAUCCGAGCUGAUGUCCUCGAUUUGCGCAGCUUCCUCAGUUUGAGUCUCCCUCGCACUGCACCAAACCAUGGUUACAUUUACUAACCCAUCAGGACUUCUCCACAGAACAAAAAUACAAAGCUCGAUGCAUACCUUUCACUAAAUUCUGGAUACAAAUGAGAAACAGUAUCACCAGCUAUGCAUCCAAUGUUUAAUUGUUGAUGAUGACUCUCAACACCAGCUUCUCUGCAAAUCUCAUCUUCAAUGUGCUCAAUUUCUUUCUCUAACUCCGCGAUGUUAUCAUCUUCUCCAAUAUCCAUUAUAGGUGGUGCACUUGGGGUUCCGAUAUCUUCAUUACUGUCCCAAUACACCGAACCCUGAUACAACAUUUUGUUCCCAAAUUUAGCAAUAUUUCUGCAAAAUUACUCAAUUUGAAUCUUCAGCGAGAUCAAAUGUGUACCUUGGAGCUCAGAGUAUGCGGUCUCUCAUCACGGAGAUAGCUACCAGGAGUCGAAUUCGCCAUGGCGAAUCUCCGUAGUCUUGAUUCGCCGUCAGUGACUCUUCUGUUCGCAAACGGAACUUCUAUUCUCAGAUUCUUAUCAUUCAACACUCCUCUGUUCGAUUUCGAGGUGGGCUUUGUUGGCCCAAACACUUCUUCUUCGUCGUAAUAACGCCUCACAACCUCGUCAUCAUCGAGAUCGUAAUCGGAGAGCUAUUCGUUAACUCCUCCUCCUCCUACGGCGUCAGAACCCGAUGAAAUACUCAUGUCAUCCUCGUCGUCGUCAUCAUCAGUGCGAAGAGAAGUGGGGGUUACCAGCUUAGGGGAGCUCAGCUUCAAGUGAGAUAAGCUGUGAGGAGAGAUGAAGGAGAGAGGAGAUCGCGGGAAGGUGGUGGUGGAGAGAGCUAAAGUAGCAUUGAAGAGAGAUCGUGUACGGUGGAUUUAAAGAGAGAAUUUAAUAGCAACGAAUCCGUAAUCGAUUGAUUACUUGAUCAGUAGGAAGAAGAUGAAUAGAUCACUGGAAACUCUAGACUCGCUACGGCCCCGAUUGAUUGCUGGAUGAUGAGGAAGAAGAAUCAGUUUCCAUGGAAACCUUAAACGCGGCGGAGAAAAGAGAGCGAUAGAAGUCAAAAUAAAAAACUCUUAAGUGUUUCGAACACAUAUCACGCCUCUGUUUUGUACGGGCUCCACAAUUGAAAACGUUCAGAUAAAUUAAUAAGAUAGGCCCAACAAAUUGCGUGAAAGAAUAAAAUGAAACGGAGGUUUUAUUAGAUGGACAGGUGGCAAGCUGUGUGAGUUUGAAUUAGUGACGUGGCUUCACCAGGAGAGAGGCACAUUUCUUUAUAUAAAUAGAUGUCUACGAAACGUCUGUUUUCAACGUCGGCACGCUUCUAAUCUAUUAAAACUGAAGUACAAGUUUAAAUUAACCCUUAAUUUACUUUGAUAAUUACAAGCCAUGCCAUUCCUAUAUUAAUGUUUAAAAAUGUUUAAUCAAUAUUUUGUUUCCUGUCACCUAAUCAAAAUCAGAUCCACUCAGUUAACUCGCAGAUUUUGUUCCUAAUUAAUAGGUAAAUUUUAAUUCAUUGGUUAAUCACCUAAUUGCAUCUAUUUAAUUCAUUGGUUACAGUUGGAGUUUGCAAAUCUAGAACAUCAGUUGCUUUGAUCGUUUAUUUCUUUUCUAUAUAUUUAUGAACAUAAUUUAUGUGUCCAUCUUUUUUUGUAAGACACCAUGGAUAAAUGAACAUACGAUAUUCCAUAAAUUAUAAAAAUUCUAGAUUAACUAUAUAUGAAAGAUAUUCAACGUAAAUUUUUUUUUAAAAUUAAACCUUAAAAGAACAAAAUUAAAGUCCUAAAACUUAUUUUUAAAUUACGUGUAUGUUGUAUAAUAUAUGUGAGAGCAUAGUAUAACUGUAUAUGAUUUUUUUCAUUUUGUGUUAAAAUCUAUAUUAUUAAAUUUGAAGUACACAUUGAGAUUGUUUGGCAAUAUAGAUAGUAGUUAAAAAAUAGUAAUUUUUAAAAAUAUGGAUAUCAGUAAAUUAUGAAAAAAAAUAAUGGGUUUAUGCUACUAACAAAAUUGGAAGUCCAUUACAUUAUAUUAAAAAGUAAUAGGUCUAUGUUACUUGAUAUAUAUAUUCAAAUCAAAAUAAUAAUUUAAAAUUUAUUUAUAUCAAAAAUUCAUUCAAAAGAAAAAAAAAUAUAUAAAUCGUGAUCAACACAUAUCAUGAGUGACGACAAGAAAGACGACGGUAUGAUCAAAUCGAAGGAAAUUGGACCAUCCUCCAUUAAGUGUCCUAUGCUUGAUUCAGCAAACUACACAGUUUGGGCCAUACGUAUAAGAUAUUUACGUUUGAUUAUUUGUAUAUAUUUUCAAGCAUUUAAGCGAACUUAAAAGUAUCAUAUAUAUUCUGGAUGUUUUUAUAUAUAUUAAAUCUAAAAAUAAUUAAUAUAUAUAAGUAUAUAAAUCUAUUUUGGAUACCCAAAAUACUUCGGUUCGGAUCGGAUUAGAUUUCAGUUCUUCAAAUACUAAAAUUUUGAAUAAUUCGGAUAUUUAAUCAAUUCCGGUUCGAAUUUAGUACUACUUAUUCGGAUUGGGAUCAGUUCAAUUUUCCGAAUUCGAGUUUUUUGUCCAACCCUAAAUAGUGACAUAAAAAUCAAAUAGCAUCAUAUUUUUUUUAAAUACACCCGCACCGACGUGCGGGGCAAAAUCUAGUUUUCCUUUUAUUUUUUCUUUCGUAUGAAGAAUCAACAAAUCGAAUACAAAGAAAUCAACAAAUUCAUUAGUUUAUUUUUUUGAAAAACCCAAAAAAUUGAUUAGUUGCUUUUUAUUUUUACCCAAAUAAGAAAAUAUUAUAUUCUAUUUGAAUAACUUUUGAAGUUACUUUUCUUGAAAUAAAACAUUAAGAAACAAAAAAAAACACUCUAAAUGAAAAUUUAUAUCUGAUUUUAAUAAAUAACUGAAUUCACGAACUUCUGUUAGUUUCAAUGAAACAUAUAUUUCCAUCUAAUUGAAAAUAUAAUUGCUGUAAGUUCUGCUUUAUCUAACCGACUUAUUACAUUUUUAAAAAUGAUGGGAAUAUAGCAAAUACAAUUAAACAGAGAUAUGAAUAUAGAAAUAGAACAAGCAAAGAAGAGGAGGUGACUUGGUGAGAUGAUGAAUACAUGGGUUCGAGGUAGGGCUACCCAAGUGGGUUUUGUUUUGUUUCUUUUCUUUAUACACUUCUUCGUGUCUUGCUUUUCUUUUUGUCCUUUCGUUUACUUUAUUAGCCCACCCACUUUUUCACUUCUUAUCGGUUAAGGGACAAAUCGAUGGUUAGGAUGAGAGUGAAGAUUUGGUGAACAUAAGGUUGCGGUUGAAUUGUUGCUAAGCUUGAGAGGAUACUUCAUAAUCUUACUAGUUUGGUUGUUGAAACAACAUAACUAAAUCAGAGGAAGACAACAACUUAUACAAUAAGAGGAUUGAUAUCUACUUUGGUAAGAUGGUGAUCCUCUCAUUCAUAUACUGUAUUGUAUAUCUGAAUUUUUGGGGCAUUUUGUGGCCGUUCUGGAAGAGCAGCACACACUGUAACUUGUCAUGCCUCUCGAUAUAUGACAACUUCUUGUUAUUAAACGAUAUUAUACCUUUUUAAAUUGCCCGGUCAAUAUCGAAUUUCCAGUCCCGAAUGUUUACCCAUUCUUUCUUAGAUUUUCUUUUAAUUUCUUGGGAGAUCAGCAUGUCAUGGGUUCGCUAGUCAUUUCGUAAAGAGGUGGGCACAUAACGAAUACUAACAUUUUUUUUGGUAUUUGUGAUUUGUUUUGUAUGUUACGAAUAUCUAAUUUUUUGAAUUGUUUUGCUUCGAAAAUUUACAGAUAUCCAAAAAAAUAUAUAUGAAUAUUUGUAAAUAUUUACGAAUAUCUCAUUAUUUUAAUAUGAAUAAUUUAGAAAAUUCUAUGCAAAUUUGUUCUUUAAAAUAUGUAUUUUACAUGUUAUAUAAAAGAAAAAUUAAAAAAAAAUGAAACUACAUAUUUUGUUAAUUUUAAACUCAGUUAACAAUAAUAAUAUGACAAAACUUAAGAAAAAAUGUAUUUUUUUUUAUUUUGAUACAUUUAUAAAUAAUAAUGUGAAUACAAUUUAUUAAAUUAUAUGUUAGAAUAGUUAUUAUAUAAGUUUAUACAUUUAAAACUCUAAAUUUAAUCGAGAUGUACAUGUGUUUUAUACAUGUUCUGUAGCUGAGGGAUAUCUACUUAUCAAAAAUUUAAUAUUUGUGAUUUUAGUGGAUAUUGAAUUUUGGUAUUUGUUUUGUUUUGAAAGUGUACUAAUAUUAAUUUUUUUUAUCAAAUAGAAACGAAUAAUGAAUAGAAUUAAAUUUAACGGAAAAUUGCCAUGUCCUAAUUGCAUGAACACACGUACAUGUGUAUACCAUAUACGUGUUGUGUGUACAUAUCUAUUCGGUUGGAGUCUUGGAGAGGCCGAUAUUAAAUGUUUGGUAUGAUAAAAAAGAGAUGUGAAAGGGCAUGUGAUAAUGUUAUCCUUCUAUUUGAAUUAUUAUUUUUUUGUUAUGAAUAGAAGAGGGAUAUAUAUUCAUGUAACAUCAUUACGUUAACUCAUUUGUCCCGACGAAUUCACAACCAUGAUCAGUACUUCUAAGAUAAAACUAUAUUAAUAUUUCGGGAAAAAAUAUAUUUAGUUUUUGGAUGUUGAGAGUACAAUAUAAAUACAGGAUACACAAUACAUAUAUACAGAGAAAUAUUUAUUUUAGUUGUUAAAAAAAUUAUCUCUUUUUUUCAAUACAAUAUACUAUAAAUAUGCAAAACCCGAAAAUAUUAUCUUUUAAAAGUAUUUUAGGGGUUUGACUAAUAGUUAUAUACUAGUAUGAUGGCCCCGUGCUACGCACAUGGUUAAUUUUUUUUGCUUGCAUUUUUAUUAUUUUGACUGUAAUUUUUCUAAAUAAGUCUUUUCAAAAUAUUUUUUUUGUUAGAAUUGAAAUAGUAAAAAUAAAACAAAGAAAUUGAAUAACAUCCGUAAAAUAGUCAACUUAUAUUAAUAGACUCAACCCUUUCUAUAGCUCGUACAGUCCACAAAAACUCACCUGCAACUAUGCUUUCUCUGUCUUAUUAAAGAGCAACAUAAAAGAUAGAAUCAGAGAAAAAAAAUAUGUAUACGUGUUUUCAAAUUAUGUACCAUUCUUCUCUUCUACUAUGUUUGCUACCUCUUUCGUUUUGUUUGUAGUUUGAGAUUUCUUUUUCUUAAUCGUCUGUUGUUGGCAGGAUAAUGAUUCUUUCUUGUUAAAAUCUAGUUUGUCUUUUGUCUUCUUUGUUGUUAAAAGUAAUGCAAGUAAUUUAUCAAAGAAAGAACAGUAUUGUAAAUACCAGUUUGGUAGAUAACAUAGUUGAACAUACCUAUUGUCGUUAUCCUCGAUUCUGUCAAAGCUUUGAAACAAUGUACUCAAGUGCCAUUCUCAACCUGAAAUAAACAAUCAAGAGAUUGUUAAUACAAAAUAAGAAGAAACCAAAUCUUAACUAAAGAGUGAUCAUGAACUUGUAUGGAAUUUAUUGGUAUCUGUAGAAGAUCAAUAGAAAGAGAAAAAAACUCAGUACAGAGAAAUGAAUAUUAAGAAAGAGAUGAAAAACAAAGAGAUCAAAUAAAACGUGAAGUAAAAAGAUUGAAAUUAUAUAUAGAAGAAAAAUCAGUUUCAAAACGUUAUAUUUAUCUUUGAACGUGUUGAUGAUAUUGUGAGAAAAUUUAGGGAUUUGGAUACUUGGAAGUUAAGGAAAACCGUGAUCAAAUAUUUUUUUUCUAAUGAGAUAUUUGUUUUUUUUUUAACUUUUGCCAAAUGUCAAAUUCCGAUUAGUUAGGCGACUUGCGUUUUAGUAUAUAAAGGAUGAUUUGUGCUAAUGUAUGUAUUGCAAUUAAUAUUCAAUCCACCUAAUUAAUAGUUAUAUAUGAUUCGUGCUAAUGUAUGGAUCAUCUUUAUAAUAUUCAUUUUGAUCAUAUAAGAGAAUUUAGAGUUCAUUCAGGUGCAUAUCAAGUUUGGAGAAGCUCAAGUUGAAGUUUGGAUAAUUUUAGAAGAAAACAUGGAAAAGCCAAGAGAGAAGGCUCGACAGACCGAGCCUGUCCGCGGUUGAAGGUUGUGCAGCGGACGACUACCGAGGACCAUGCCCAUCCGUGGAAUUCAAACAGGGUGAACGAAUUAAGAAGGCUGAAUCGCGGAUGACACACCGCAGACCAUGACCACGACCAUCCGCAGAAUCCGACCAUGGUAACCCAAUUGAAGCAUGGUCAACAACGGGCAGUCCGCGGUCGACACCCAAGCCACUUUUUAUCCAUUUUUGAGUUAAAUCAUUGUCGGUUAAUCCAGUUCGUUUUUAAGGCAUAUAAAGGCAUUUUAAGGAAAAUAACCCCUAAGCUACCUAAGCAUAUAUUUUUCUUAUUUUACACUUAAUCUUUUGUAAAUCUUAUUUUUGUAUAAGGAUUUAUCUUGUUUAUAUUGUUUAAAUCUUUAUAGUCUCUUGAUUAUCCAUCACUCUAUCAUGAGUUUAUAUGGUUUCAUGAAGAUUAGUGAGAAAAACUUUUUAAAAAAACUUUUUAAAGCUUUUGGGUUUGGUAGAUUAGAGUGAUUAAUGUUUGAUGUUAUGAUGAUAUGUGAUUAAUCUAUAUAAUCUUUACUCAAUUGGUGCGGAAAUGAAAUGCUUGAAUAAACCAAUUUAAGUGCUUUACUCUGUUUUGCUUACACAAUGGAAGUUGAUACUAUAAUACUUAAUGGAUAUUAAUACUUGUGUUUUAUAAAUAUUUGAUGAAAUUAACCAAUAGAAAAUUGAUGUUAAUAAUUUUAUUAACAUAAGAGUUAUUGCCACAUUAGUGGAUUAGUUCGAAUUAGUGUUUUAGGCCUAAAUAUUAACACUGGUUGAUUGUUUAAACAUCAUAGAUUAGUAUAUAUUGAUCAGUCUAAUCAAUAAGUUGCCUUUCUUGUAUUUUCGUGGGCUUGACUUUUAAUUGACUUUUAUUGAAUUUUGGGAUCCAAAUCAAGAUUUUCUUUCGAGGGGUUUGAAUCAGUGCUAUGUAUCAUGACCUCUCUUCAAUUUUUUUGGUCAAAACAUUCAUUCAUAAAUAAAAUUCAAACUCCAUCAAAAAGGAGGGAUUACAAGCUAAAAGGAUAAAAACAUUUCCCAACAUUUUUUUCUAAAAUCGUGGUUACACAUGAUAGAAACAUAUAUAAUUUAAAAAUAAAAAUAAAAAUCAGAAAUUGAGUAAGAUUCUGCAAAAAUGGCAGAGAACACUGCAACAAAAGCAUAUGAGACAAUAAGCUAGGAUGGAUACCCUUGCAAAACUAGCAAAUCAUUAACAACAAAACGACUAAUACAUAGGGGGUGAUUGGUUGGACUGUAACUAUAGAAAUUUUACUUUAGAAUUUAGUAUGUAGAAUUUUUUGAUUUAGCUUUAAUGGAUGUAGCUUUAAAAUUUCCUACAGUUAAAAAUAUGGGGCUUUAGAAAAUAAGAUUUUUACAACCAUUUUUUGUAUGUUUUUACUGUAGCUUUAACUUUUUGGUUGUAGCUUUAAAAACUAAGAUAAAGCAUGAUUGGUAGUAUUUAAGGUUGUAGAUGGAAAUUAAAGUUAAAGUCACUUCCUACAACCCAUCCAAUCACCCCCAUAGUGUAAAGUUCAGGAAAAUCAUCUGCUCCAUGAAAGAAACAAAGUGAUGGUAGCUGUCUGCAAGUAUUAGAUUCAAUGGGAGACAUGAUUCAACAAGCCAUAACUGUAACAUCCAUGAUCUGGAUUAAGUCAAAGUUAGUGAGUUUGUCGUAAUCAAACAAGAACAUGCACGACGAACUAAAGAACUUCAACCAGAUCAAAGAUGCUACUACAUGUGCCCAAACGUUCGACCCGAUGUUCCCAUAUCAAAUCCGAAAUCCAAAGUCAAAUUUCCGAGAACAGUUUUCCUAGCCGUUCCAAGUUGAGACUUUGCAACAAAGUUUGAAACCGUUAGUUGGUUUGUCCCGGACUAGAACUAAUAUUAUAUGGAACCCAUACAUUUUCACAAAAACUUUAUUAUUUAUAUAAUACUCAGGUUCAAAUAACAUCAAACAUAUAAAAGGUGCACCACUUUCAAAUGUAUUACAUAUUACAAUACAUACUUCUUUGCAAAAUGCACAAACACUAGGCCAAGAACACUGCUCAUUCGCAACCCGAGAUACCUCUAUGAUUCCCUGCAGCACAAAGAGUCUAAUGAGCAAAUAAUUUUCUCAGUGAGACAAGGUUCCCUAACAAUUAAAUCAUCCACCCAAUAUGCAUCAAUCAUUAAAAAAUAAAAAUCAAUUAUUUCAUGUAACAUGCAAUGCGAAAAUAAAGCAAUCCAUUUACCCACACAUCCAUCUUUCACAAGUGGUUAGAUGAUCACCGAUAGUCCAGGCUUGAUUCUCGUCAUUUGUUCCAAUCUCCUCCGAUGAUGACGAUUGAGGCCUUUGUUUCUCCAAGCUCAGCAUCUCAUCCAACAAACGGUUGAUCUUGUGUUUGAUCUUGUGUGAUGAUUUGGAGAGAUUUCUCAAAACAUCUGAACAUUGACAAAGAAAUUUCUCAGACCAAAAAAACAAGACAUUGACGGAGAAGAAGAAAGAGAAGGUCAGAUUUUCCCCCUUUUUGUUUUAGCCAAUAACAAAGAGGCACAUAUGGAGUUUUUACUGAUUCUAGAAGUGUUAUAUUAAGAACCGGUUUUGCUCAUUUAUCUCAUUUUUAUUUUUUUGUUUUUUCUUUUAGAACUUCUAGUUAAAGCCACCGUUGGAGGUGGUCUAAACAUAUCGAUGCAAGCAACACAUGAACUAAAGUACUUAAGUAAUAAAUCCGGUUAAUGCGUUUCCCGUGAGAAAUAAUUUAAAGUAAACCAAGAGUGGGGUUUCAUGUUGAUACUUUGUCAGACCUAAUUAGGAUCUCAUUCACGUGUAAGUUAAUAUCAAAAACCUAACGCCUUAACAAACAAUAAAUCUAAGUAAUAUAUUGAGUUUGGCUAGUUAAGUAGAGAAUGGAUCUUAGAUCUGUUUAAGUAAUCAGGUUGAUGACAAGAUUUUUUUUUUUUAUAAAAAAAAGUAGGUUAACGAUGUACAGUAUUUGCAACUAUUUUCAUAUUUGUAUUGGCUUUAGAAAAUUGUCGAGUACAAAGAAAAUUUUGUUAUUGCGUUAACCAGUCAACCCCUAAGUAGAAUCAUAUCCAACGAAGGGCGAUGUAGAGUAACUUUCAAUUCCUUUCAUAUCUGUAGAGAAGUAAAUGGUUAUGGUGAGAUAAUUUGAAUGAGACAAAUAUCAAAUGAGUGGAAUUAAGCUUUUCCACAUUUUUAAGAGUAAUUAGUCUUUGAGAAAUUAAUUUUACUUUUAUUCUAUUUUGGAUUAAUUUAAAUUCAUUUAAAUGGUGAAUUUCUAGAAAAAUUAAAAAUAGUAGUUUUCAUAAAAAAUGUCAUUAGAAUCAUCUUAUAAUAGCUUAAUAUUUAAAAAUUUGUUUUAUAUUUCGAAUGCAUAUCUUUGUAAAAUUUAUAGUUUAUUUGUAUUUUUAAAUAAUUAUUAUCAUAUUUAACAAAAUAAUAUGUUAAUUAAAAUAAAAUAGAACAGCUUUUUAAAAAAAAAUAUUGUGGAAAACUUUAAAUAUACAUUUUUGAAGUAGUUUUUGGCUUUUGUGUUUUUCUAAAAACCAUUUUCUAGACAAUCAAACUUUUAGAAAGAUAGAUUUCCUAUAAUCUAGGGAAACUAGAUUUUCCAAAUAACUGUAUUUUAUAAACAAAAACCAAACUUCAAGUUUUUAUGGUUUCUUCAAAAUCUACCGACAGUUUUUCAAUUUUUUUAUUUUAAAUUAAAUUUUUGCUAUAUUUAUGCAAUACAUGAAAACAAAUAAAACAAUAAAUACUAGAAACAAAUCAGAUUUAGUAAAAAUCAUCUGUUUAAUAUAUAUAAUACAAAAAUAAAUUUCUAAUAAGAACAAUUCUAAAACUUGUCGAUAAAAUUAACUUAAGUAUUUAAAUUUACUUUUAUGUAAAGUUUAUCUUUUUUUUGUUAAUAAUCUAUUGGUAUUAUUUACUGAUUUUUUUAUAUAUUAUUUUAGUGAUUUAAGUUUGCUUUUAAUCAAUUCAUAGGUAAGAAAAAAUUAAAAUAAAAGAAAACAUUAACAAAAUUUAGAUUUUUUUUAAGAAAAUUGGAAUUUAGAAAUAAAAAAAAUCUAAAAUUAAAAACCAAAAUCCAACAUUUUCUAGUUUGUUGUUUAAAAAUUUUCAUUUUUUAUACUACAAAUAAAAAAUUCAUGAUCCAACUUACGUAAGUUUCUUUUGAACUAAUCAACACAUAUUAAUUGUUGAUAAUAGCAUUUUAUUUUUUAUAUUUUCAGAAUAAACAUAUUACUAUUAUUAAUAUUUUUAUACCAUCCGCAGAAUCCGACCAUGGUAACCCAAUUGAAGCAUGGUCAACAACGGGCAGUCCGCGGUCGACACCCAAGCCACUUUUUAUCCAUUUUUGAGUUAAAUCAUUGUCGGUUAAUCCAGUUCGUUUUUAAGGCAUAUAAAGGCAUUUUAAGGAAAAUAACCCCUAAGCUACCUAAGCAUAUAUUUUUCUUAUUUUACACUUAAUCUUUUGUAAAUCUUAUUUUUGUAUAAGGAUUUAUCUUGUUUAUAUUGUUUAAAUCUUUAUAGUCUCUUGAUUAUCCAUCACUCUAUCAUGAGUUUAUAUGGUUUCAUGAAGAUUAGUGAGAAAAACUUUUUAAAAAAACUUUUUAAAGCUUUUGGGUUUGGUAGAUUAGAGUGAUUAAUGUUUGAUGUUAUGAUGAUAUGUGAUUAAUCUAUAUAAUCUUUACUCAAUUGGUGCGGAAAUGAAAUGCUUGAAUAAACCAAUUUAAGUGCUUUACUCUGUUUUGCUUACACAAUGGAAGUUGAUACUAUAAUACUUAAUGGAUAUUAAUACUUGUGUUUUAUAAAUAUUUGAUGAAAUUAACCAAUAGAAAAUUGAUGUUAAUAAUUUUAUUAACAUAAGAGUUAUUGCCACAUUAGUGGAUUAGUUCGAAUUAGUGUUUUAGGCCUAAAUAUUAACACUGGUUGAUUGUUUAAACAUCAUAGAUUAGUAUAUAUUGAUCAGUCUAAUCAAUAAGUUGCCUUUCUUGUAUUUUCGUGGGCUUGACUUUUAAUUGACUUUUAUUGAAUUUUGGGAUCCAAAUCAAGAUUUUCUUUCGAGGGGUUUGAAUCAGUGCUAUGUAUCAUGACCUCUCUUCAAUUUUUUUGGUCAAAACAUUCAUUCAUAAAUAAAAUUCAAACUCCAUCAAAAAGGAGGGAUUACAAGCUAAAAGGAUAAAAACAUUUCCCAACAUUUUUUUCUAAAAUCGUGGUUACACAUGAUAGAAACAUAUAUAAUUUAAAAAUAAAAAUAAAAAUCAGAAAUUGAGUAAGAUUCUGCAAAAAUGGCAGAGAACACUGCAACAAAAGCAUAUGAGACAAUAAGCUAGGAUGGAUACCCUUGCAAAACUAGCAAAUCAUUAACAACAAAACGACUAAUACAUAGGGGGUGAUUGGUUGGACUGUAACUAUAGAAAUUUUACUUUAGAAUUUAGUAUGUAGAAUUUUUUGAUUUAGCUUUAAUGGAUGUAGCUUUAAAAUUUCCUACAGUUAAAAAUAUGGGGCUUUAGAAAAUAAGAUUUUUACAACCAUUUUUUGUAUGUUUUUACUGUAGCUUUAACUUUUUGGUUGUAGCUUUAAAAACUAAGAUAAAGCAUGAUUGGUAGUAUUUAAGGUUGUAGAUGGAAAUUAAAGUUAAAGUCACUUCCUACAACCCAUCCAAUCACCCCCAUAGUGUAAAGUUCAGGAAAAUCAUCUGCUCCAUGAAAGAAACAAAGUGAUGGUAGCUGUCUGCAAGUAUUAGAUUCAAUGGGAGACAUGAUUCAACAAGCCAUAACUGUAACAUCCAUGAUCUGGAUUAAGUCAAAGUUAGUGAGUUUGUCGUAAUCAAACAAGAACAUGCACGACGAACUAAAGAACUUCAACCAGAUCAAAGAUGCUACUACAUGUGCCCAAACGUUCGACCCGAUGUUCCCAUAUCAAAUCCGAAAUCCAAAGUCAAAUUUCCGAGAACAGUUUUCCUAGCCGUUCCAAGUUGAGACUUUGCAACAAAGUUUGAAACCGUUAGUUGGUUUGUCCCGGACUAGAACUAAUAUUAUAUGGAACCCAUACAUUUUCACAAAAACUUUAUUAUUUAUAUAAUACUCAGGUUCAAAUAACAUCAAACAUAUAAAAGGUGCACCACUUUCAAAUGUAUUACAUAUUACAAUACAUACUUCUUUGCAAAAUGCACAAACACUAGGCCAAGAACACUGCUCAUUCGCAACCCGAGAUACCUCUAUGAUUCCCUGCAGCACAAAGAGUCUAAUGAGCAAAUAAUUUUCUCAGUGAGACAAGGUUCCCUAACAAUUAAAUCAUCCACCCAAUAUGCAUCAAUCAUUAAAAAAUAAAAAUCAAUUAUUUCAUGUAACAUGCAAUGCGAAAAUAAAGCAAUCCAUUUACCCACACAUCCAUCUUUCACAAGUGGUUAGAUGAUCACCGAUAGUCCAGGCUUGAUUCUCGUCAUUUGUUCCAAUCUCCUCCGAUGAUGACGAUUGAGGCCUUUGUUUCUCCAAGCUCAGCAUCUCAUCCAACAAACGGUUGAUCUUGUGUUUGAUCUUGUGUGAUGAUUUGGAGAGAUUUCUCAAAACAUCUGAACAUUGACAAAGAAAUUUCUCAGACCAAAAAAACAAGACAUUGACGGAGAAGAAGAAAGAGAAGGUCAGAUUUUCCCCCUUUUUGUUUUAGCCAAUAACAAAGAGGCACAUAUGGAGUUUUUACUGAUUCUAGAAGUGUUAUAUUAAGAACCGGUUUUGCUCAUUUAUCUCAUUUUUAUUUUUUUGUUUUUUCUUUUAGAACUUCUAGUUAAAGCCACCGUUGGAGGUGGUCUAAACAUAUCGAUGCAAGCAACACAUGAACUAAAGUACUUAAGUAAUAAAUCCGGUUAAUGCGUUUCCCGUGAGAAAUAAUUUAAAGUAAACCAAGAGUGGGGUUUCAUGUUGAUACUUUGUCAGACCUAAUUAGGAUCUCAUUCACGUGUAAGUUAAUAUCAAAAACCUAACGCCUUAACAAACAAUAAAUCUAAGUAAUAUAUUGAGUUUGGCUAGUUAAGUAGAGAAUGGAUCUUAGAUCUGUUUAAGUAAUCAGGUUGAUGACAAGAUUUUUUUUUUUUAUAAAAAAAAGUAGGUUAACGAUGUACAGUAUUUGCAACUAUUUUCAUAUUUGUAUUGGCUUUAGAAAAUUGUCGAGUACAAAGAAAAUUUUGUUAUUGCGUUAACCAGUCAACCCCUAAGUAGAAUCAUAUCCAACGAAGGGCGAUGUAGAGUAACUUUCAAUUCCUUUCAUAUCUGUAGAGAAGUAAAUGGUUAUGGUGAGAUAAUUUGAAUGAGACAAAUAUCAAAUGAGUGGAAUUAAGCUUUUCCACAUUUUUAAGAGUAAUUAGUCUUUGAGAAAUUAAUUUUACUUUUAUUCUAUUUUGGAUUAAUUUAAAUUCAUUUAAAUGGUGAAUUUCUAGAAAAAUUAAAAAUAGUAGUUUUCAUAAAAAAUGUCAUUAGAAUCAUCUUAUAAUAGCUUAAUAUUUAAAAAUUUGUUUUAUAUUUCGAAUGCAUAUCUUUGUAAAAUUUAUAGUUUAUUUGUAUUUUUAAAUAAUUAUUAUCAUAUUUAACAAAAUAAUAUGUUAAUUAAAAUAAAAUAGAACAGCUUUUUAAAAAAAAAUAUUGUGGAAAACUUUAAAUAUACAUUUUUGAAGUAGUUUUUGGCUUUUGUGUUUUUCUAAAAACCAUUUUCUAGACAAUCAAACUUUUAGAAAGAUAGAUUUCCUAUAAUCUAGGGAAACUAGAUUUUCCAAAUAACUGUAUUUUAUAAACAAAAACCAAACUUCAAGUUUUUAUGGUUUCUUCAAAAUCUACCGACAGUUUUUCAAUUUUUUUAUUUUAAAUUAAAUUUUUGCUAUAUUUAUGCAAUACAUGAAAACAAAUAAAACAAUAAAUACUAGAAACAAAUCAGAUUUAGUAAAAAUCAUCUGUUUAAUAUAUAUAAUACAAAAAUAAAUUUCUAAUAAGAACAAUUCUAAAACUUGUCGAUAAAAUUAACUUAAGUAUUUAAAUUUACUUUUAUGUAAAGUUUAUCUUUUUUUUGUUAAUAAUCUAUUGGUAUUAUUUACUGAUUUUUUUAUAUAUUAUUUUAGUGAUUUAAGUUUGCUUUUAAUCAAUUCAUAGGUAAGAAAAAAUUAAAAUAAAAGAAAACAUUAACAAAAUUUAGAUUUUUUUUAAGAAAAUUGGAAUUUAGAAAUAAAAAAAAUCUAAAAUUAAAAACCAAAAUCCAACAUUUUCUAGUUUGUUGUUUAAAAAUUUUCAUUUUUUAUACUACAAAUAAAAAAUUCAUGAUCCAACUUACGUAAGUUUCUUUUGAACUAAUCAACACAUAUUAAUUGUUGAUAAUAGCAUUUUAUUUUUUAUAUUUUCAGAAUAAACAUAUUACUAUUAUUAAUAUUUUUAUUUUUAUUAAUAUUAAAAACAGAAACCAAAAACAAAAAAACCAAAAUCUAGAACAACCAAUCAUGUUUUUCAAAAAAUUAAAAUCUACUGCAAAAACAAAAACCAAAAACUAAAAACCAAAAUAUAAAAUCUAAAAUCUAAAAGCCAAAAACUAAAAGCCAAAAUCUAAAAACUAGCAAAACAAUCAUCACCGUAAUAUAAAACAAAGGAAAUAUUUUUAGUCUUUGGUUUGUCUUUAGUUUUUUUGUCAUCUAGAAUAUUUCAUUGAAACAUCAAAGAUACAAAGGACGAUUACGAGACCGGCGGAAAGAAAGUAUAUCCCCAGAUACGAAGCUGGCGGAAGACAAGAUUUCCCCAGAAACUUAGAUUACAAACCGAACUUAAAGCCAUACAGAUUUUGUCCCAACCAGAAAAGACAAUGAAUCCAUAAAGAAGGACUUAAAGCUUAGAAACAUAACUGAUUAAAACUUUACACACAAAGAACAAAACUUAACGAAGAUGCCCCCGGCCAACCAUCGUUAACAAGUUCCUCCUAAAACCUACCUUUUGAUUCCAAGAACUGAAGCUUCACUUACGCAAGACAGUGUAUUUAGGUCUCCGGAAAGCGGUAGAGCCGACAAUCGUGACUGGAACUCACCUAGAAUGAAGCUUGCAAAGAGAUAAUGAUUAAAUCUGAAAGGUAGCGCCAAGGAGCGAGCAAUCCAACUCGGAUAGUUCCGAGAAGAAACCAAACUAAACUUCCGAGAAAAGAAAGAAACCGACAUGCAUGAAGUGCAAGGCCCCAAUAGCUCCAAAUCUGGAUUUUAGAUCUUGGAUGAGAGAUUAAACCAAAGUCGUUUGCAGCAGAACCGCACCGAUGAUCCACCUGAAUUUGGGGACUCCGUCUUCUCUAUACCAAAAGGCAAUUAGUCUGUGACAAAAUCUAACUAAUUACAUGCAUUUAUAUAUAUAGAUACAUUUACAUUAGACACACUUUCUAAAAAUAUAAUUACAGUUAGUGAUAUCUCAUGAUUUUAAUGAGUUUUAGAUUUAUAUUUUAGCUUAUUAUGAUUAUUUUAGGUUGCAUUUAGGUCUUUAUGUUGCAUUUGCAUACUCAUUUGCAUAUCAUAGGGGUUGGAAUGCACAUUUAGAAGUUUUGGGCAACAUUGGAAAGUUAGUGUUGCAAGUCAAAUACUUUUGAGUCAGAAAUGAAAGAAGGCGAGAAUCCAAGGACCGAAGUUGCAAAUGCAGAAAUUCGGUGGGGUUAAAUUGCACAAUCAAAAGUUAAGGGGCUAAAGUAAGGAUGUUUCUGCAAUUUACAAAGUUGUGGGCUCUUUUGUAACAAAUCCAAAGUUUGAGGACCUGCUGUGCAAAAUGGAAGAAACCACCAUUGGAGAAGAUCGAGAGCUUCCUCUUCGCCGGACCUGAGUUUGAUUCAGCUCACCGGAGGUCGCAGAGAGGACAUAAGCACGGAGACGGCUUGACCUUGAGAUUCAGAAGCUGAAGAGAUCCCGUAGUGGAAAGCUUGGCGGAGGAGAGACGACGAUUGAAGCUUGAUGGCUGCGACGGCGAGAAGCACUCCGGAGCUUCAGGACGUGCUGUCACGGCUCGAGCUGAGACCACGACGGUGAUUCUGAGCACAGCCACGGAAUGAUGACGACGACGGCACGUCGAGAUGUCGAGAAGAAGAAAUGAGGAACUCCACGCGGGUUGAGCAACUCGGGAAGCUGUACCCGCUCGCACCGGAAGAGACGUCAACACCAGUCUCACGCGGGGAAGGACGACGCGGGGAGCUGUACCCGCUCGCAUGAACUGAAGGCGUGGCGACGGCUUAACGCGGUAGGCAUUUCAUACCCGGAAGGUGUUUGAUGAAAUGCCUGAACCAACUCUCCUAAGCUUUUAACAUUCUUUACCAAAGGGAUUUGUUGUUAAAGGUGUUAAGAUGGCUAGUAGACUUGAGAUUAAUGAUUACUUAGAUAACAUUCAACCAAAGGAAUUUGAUGCUUGAGUUAUCUAGGUAAAUGAGCAUUCAUCUAGGGAUAGAGUUUGUUUAGGAUUGUGUCUAGGUCUAAGGUAGAUAUAAAUUGGUUGAAAGUUGACACCUUUAGGUUGAAUCUUGAUCACCCAAGAUCAAUUCCCAUAGCCCAUGAGUUCUCCCAUCUUAUAAGAAAGAAAGCUUUGUCAUUUAUUACAUUUUAGGUAGAAAUCUAGUUUAAAAACAUCUCAAAAACUGGUAGCACUUAGAUUAAGCAUGGUCUUGCAUUCUCUUUGCAUCAUAAUCACUUAGAACUGGUUUGACAUCCUUUAUACUACAACAUUUGAUUAGGAGCCUUGAAACUCCUAACAUCAAAUUGGCGCCGUUGCCAAAUUCUAAGUUGAUUGUGACAUUGGGAUUUAGUCAUUUGCUUAAGACUAAGUCAAUUUUUAUUUAAUUGUGUUAUUGCUUCUCUUUGUCCUUCUCCCUUUGCAUUUCAGGUGUAUGAACACAAGGAGCAGAGGUCCAACAAACCUAGUUCCAAGAGUUGAAGACAUUAGAGAACUUGAGAGGGAGAUAGCAAGACAAAGAAGAGAAGUAGAGCAAAAGGCUCACUUGCAAGGGUUGGGGCUUGAUAUGGAGAAUCUGCCUCAAGAUGGUGAAGCCCAAGGAGGCAAUGGUCCAAGAGUUGAUCCUUUUAGACCACAGCGCCAGCCACAACACCCACAGCGCCAAGCUCGUGCCAUUGGAGCCUAUGAUCAACCUCACAUUCAUGGUCAUAGGUUGGGAAUCAGAGCACCAGCUGUGGAGAACAACAACUUUGAGAUCAAGUCAGGGCUGCUCAACACUAUAGAGAACAACAAGUAUCAUGGUCUUGCUGCUGAAGAUCCUUUUGAUCACUUGUACAAGUUUGAUAAGUAUUGUGGCUUGUCCAAGAUAAAUGGUGUUUCUGAAGAUGCUUUCAAGCUGAAGCUAUUCCCUUUCUCUUUGGGAGACAAGGCACACCAAUGGGAGAAGACUCUUCCAAGUGACACUGUCACUACUUGGGAAGAUUGCAAGAGAGCUUUCCUAGAAAAGUUCUUCUCUACUUCAAGGACAGCUAAGAUCAGGAACGAAAUCUCCGGGUUUCAACAAAAAGGUCUAGAGAGCUUCAGUGAAGCAUGGGAGAGGUUCAAGGGUUAUUGGUCUCAAUGCCCUCAUCAUGGUUUCAGCAAGGAGAGCUUGCUUAGCACCUUCUAUAGAGGAGCCUUACCACAGUGCAGAAACAGGCUUGAUACUGCCAAAAAAAAAAUACAACAAUCAGCAAGGAGGUUACCAAGCCAACCAGUCUCCUCAGACUCAAGGAAGCUCUUCUCAAGCUCAAGCUCCAGAUUCAAGUGUGGAUUCUAUGUUCAAGCAACUCUUGGAAUUUCAGGCCAGAAAUGAGAAGACCAUGAUUUAUGAGUUCAAGAACAUCCAUGCAAAGAUUGAUGGGAACUAUUCUGACCUCAACAACAAGUACAUGCAACUUGCCUCUCAUCUAAAGGCUUUGGAGAGUCAAGUUGCUUCUAUGUCUUCAUCCUCCAAGCAGCCAAUGGGGUCUCUACCAGGGAAACCAGAAAAUAACUCCAAGGAGUCUUGCAAUGUUGUUUUCUCUACUACUUCUCCAAAGAUUGAGCUGAGUGAUCAUGAGAAAGAGGAGGAUGAGAUUGAAAGACUGGUAUAUGGAACUGAGUUCGGGGAAGUUGAGAGAUUUGUUGUAGCCACAGCUGAAGCACAGAUUGUGAAGGAUGCUGCCACAAAGGUUGAAGCAACGAAUCUGCAAAGAGCUGAGCACAAGGCUGAAAAACAAGUUGAGAAGAGAGCUGACAACAAGCUGAAAGAGGUUAAGCUAGAGGAAGCAACUAAGGUUGAGUUAUCACCCUAUGAUCAACUCCCUUUCCCCCAAAGAAUUCUCACCAAAGCUCAGAAGAAGGUGCUCUCUAAGUUUAGAAACGAUCUUAGUGAUGUUGGGGUCAGGCUUCCAGAAAUCUCGGGUAUGCGUGAAGCUCAUAUCCAGAUGAUGCUCAUCAACGACAUUCUAGACCACCAAGCUGAAGUGGCCGAGCUUCUGAACAUCUCCAUUCUGAAGAUCGAUCCACCAAUCCCUUCAAAGUCCCUCCUUAAGAUUGAGUCUCAAGGGAUGUUCACAUUGCCUUGCUACCUUGGUAAGCUCUUUUUGGAUGAUGCUCUUGUUGAUUCUGGUGCAAGUGUGAAUGUGAUAUCAAUGGAGAUGAUGAAGAGUCUAGGGAUUGAGAGCAUGGAGCCAAACACAUCUUCCCUACAUUUUGGAGAUUCCUCUUCUACAACUCCUAUUGGUCUCAUCAAGGACUUCCCUUUGAAGAUUGGAGAAUGCACCAUUCCUAUAGAUCUCACUGUUCUGAAGAUGGCAACUGAGAAGAGAGUCCCAUUGAUCCUUGGCACUCCAUUCCUUACAACAGUGGGAGCGUGCAUAGACUUUGCCAACAAGAAGGUCACACUCUUAAAUGUGAACAAAGCUGUCUCUUAUCCACUACAAUCCCCAAAGAUGAAUGCUGAGUAUUGUGGAACAAUCACUUGUGGAGCAUCCUCCAUUGAGAAGACCAAGGCUGAAGGGGUUGGUCUUAAGAAAGAAGGUCUUGCUAGAGAGUCCUCUAAAGAGUUGUGUGAUAAGCACUUGGAAAGUGCUAAAAAGAAAGAGGUGAGUAGAGCCACAAAGCCUGUUCAUGACAACAAGAAGAUUGUGAAAGAACCUCAUCUUCCACCUCUUGAUAAGACUCCUCACACACUCACUCUCCACCCAAUGAAGCUUAAGGAUGGGGCUAUUGAGUAUAAGAUCAAAUGCAAGGGAAAGUCUACACCAUUCUCAAGUGCAAAGGCCAUCAUCACUCCACAACUCCAAGAUGAUCCAAUCAAGCUUCAAGAGCUUCUCUCUCAAGUCCUCACCAUCACUCUUGAAGGAGGGAAAGAUCCUCCUCUUCACUAGCCAAUUGGAAGGAAAGUCAAGCUAGAGACUUAAAACAAGCUCACUUGGGAGGAAGUCUCAUGGUAUCCUUUGUAUAUAUUUUUAUAUAUCUUUUUCUUGCUUUAGUGUGUUUGAAUAAGCUUAGGGACAAGUUUGGGGGAAUUCUCAAAAAUUCCCAAAGGUCAUAUCAAAAAUUCCAAGGUGACAGCAAGUCCUCCCUCCUCAUUUCCCUUCUCUUAUGACAGCCAACUUCAAGUAAGUGCAUUCUACCUUUGUAAAUACUUAGUUAUCAUGUUUAUGUAUUUCCCUUAGAUCUCUCCUUUGAGCUUAUUCUCACACAAGGGACUGUGUGAAGUAAGUUUGGGGUAGAGUCUACUAUCUCACAUUGUGUUUUGUUUUGUCUACUUGUCAUUAAGUCUCAUGCAUUGCAUUGUGAAUAAUUAUUUGCAUAGAAAAUCCAUAAAAAUUAAAAAAUUUCGAAAAUCACAAAAAUAAGCAUUUAGUUGCAUCAUUUGCAUCUUUAGGAUUGAGUCUAGAAGCAUUUAGAUUGCAUUCAUGCAUUGGGAGAAACCUUGUAAAGAACACAUGUCUAGAACUCAAUUUGACAUCCUAGCUAAACAUAUCAAGUAGCUUAAGCAUCUUUUGAAAAAACUUGUAAGCUUCGAGCCUUGAAAACUCUUCUUGAAACUUGUUUGCUUGCUUGAUAUUGGCAUUGUUUUUAAGAUCAGCUCCAAUAUGAACUUGGCUUGAACGAACUUAAUCUCUCUUGCAUAUGGGCACUUGCAUACUUAAUCAUGGAUCUCAUACACAUUUGGGUUAUCUUAUUCCUUUAUAUACCAAUCUUUGUUAACCCAAAUGGCACUCCAUACCCUACAACCCUAACCAUUCUUUGAGACCAAACAUUGAAUUGCAUGAGUGAGGCCUCUUUUGAUAGCUUGUCAUGUGCAAAAUCUUGAGAGUAUUGGAGGCGACAUAGAUUUAUUCUCAUCUCUUGCUAGCAUAAUGAGCUAGCAUUUAGGGACGGUGAGAGGGGUUUGUGUAUUCUAAGUGUUAAUACUUUGGGUUUGGGGAGUGAGAAAGAUGAGAAAGAUGAACAAAAGAGUGUCAUUAGAAAAGAAAACUCUAGGGACAAAAGGAAAGUAUGAAGCUCUAGAUUAUGUACAAAAGAACCUUCCCCCUUAUAAAAAAAAAAAAGAGAAAAGAAUCAAAGAGAAGGUGGGAAGGGAAAUGAGAAAGAGUUCGAACUAAGUGUUGUAAAAAGUGAAUUAAAGUCCCUAGUUGGUUGAGUCAAAAGAAAAAGAGAGUUGUUCAUUGGGUGAGUGAUGUGAGUGGGUUUUAUUUUGGUUUUGAGAUGAUGAUAAAAGGGUAGAACUUGUAAUCACUUAGGAAAAGGGUAGAAUGAUGAGAAUGAAUCUAUGUAUGCAUGAGUUGCUUCUAAUCUUAGAUAAAUUUUGCAUAAUGAUCAAGUUCCUUGUUCUUGAGUGAUAACCACCUUGGAAUAAUAACAUUUGAAUCCUUCUUUUCAUUCAUAUUAGACCAUUGCUUACCUAGCCAAAUGAUUGAGAUCAUGUGUCUAUUUGUGAGAAUUCAUCUUGGGUGUGUGUGUGUGAAUCAAUGUGAGAGCUGGUUGAAGGAACUUGUUAGUUGAUGAGUAUUGCAACUUGAGUAAAGGCAUAAGAGUAUGGAUAAGCCUAGAGAAGCUAGAGUAUAAUAAGGGAGUUACUCAUGCUAUUUGCUAUGUUUCUCUUGGGAUGUUAGGUUGAAGGCUAGAAAGUGUCUCUUUUGGUUAUGUAUUUCCAUUUUCAAUUCCCUCCUCUUUGAUUGAUCUUGAAUGUUUACUUGAGGACAAGUAAAGGAAUAGUGUGGGGGAGUUGAUAUCUCAUGAUUUUAAUGAGUUUUAGAUUUAUAUUUUAGCUUAUUAUGAUUAUUUUAGGUUGCAUUUAGGUCUUUAUGUUGCAUUUGCAUACUCAUUUGCAUAUCAUAGGGGUUGGAAUGCACAUUUAGAAGUUUUGGGCAACAUUGGAAAGUUAUUGUUGCAAGUCAAAUACUUUUGAGUCAGAAAUGAAAGAAGGCGAGAAUCCAGGGACCGAAGUUGCAAAUGCAGAAAUUCGGUGGGGUUAAAUUGCACAAUCAAAAGUUAAGGGGCUAAAGUAAGGAUGUUUCUGCAAUUUACAAAGUUGUGGGCUCUUUUGUAACAAAUCCAAAGUUCGAGGACCUGCUGUGCAAAAUGGAAGAAACCACCACUGGAGAAGAUCGAGAGCUUCCUCUUCGCCGGACCUGAGUUUGAUUCAGCUCACCGGAGGUCGCAGAGAGGACAUAAGCACGGAGACGGCUUGACCUUGAGAUUCAGAAGCUGAAGAGAUCCCGUAGUGGAAAGCUUGGCGGAGGAGAGACGACGAUUGAAGCUUGAUGGCUGCGACGGCGAGAAGCACUCCGGAGCUUCAGGACGUGCUGUCACGGCUCGAGCUGAGACCACGACGGUGAUUCUGAGCACAGCCACGGAAUGAUGACGACGACGGCACGUCGAGAUGUCGAGAAGAAGAAAUGAGGAACUCCACGCGGGUUGAGCAACUCGGGAAGCUGUACCCGCUCGCACCGGAAGAGACGUCAACACCAGUCUCACGCGGGGAAGGACGACGCGGGGAGCUGUACCCGCUCGCAUGAACUGAAGGCGUGGCGACGGCUUAACGCGGGGAAGCUUACGCGGGUGGAGCGACGAUCCCUACCCCGCGCCGAGACUUAUCUUUAAUCGAAUUUUAAUGUUUUUUUAAAGGUUUUUUUAGACUUUUUAAUGGGAACCAUUAGGUUUACCAAAGACAUAUAAAUACUCUUGUAAUCCUAAAGUUAGGAUCUAUCUUAUUUUCUAUCUAAUCACAAAGAACUUUGAGUUUAAAGAUCUAAUUUUGAUCAUUAUCUUUUGUGAUUGCUUAGAUUAUAUUGAUCACUAAUCAUGAUUAACACCAAAUCAUCAUUGAUUCUUGGGUUUAUCAUGAUAAUUAGUGAGUAGUCAUCUUUGGAUUCAUGGAUUAGGGAGAUUAAGGGUGAUUAAGCUAGAUCUAAGGUGUUUUAGUAUAGAUCCAUCUUGUUCCUUGCUAGUAGAGUGAUUUUAAUGUCAUUUUAGAGUUGACCUCUCUAAAGUUGAGCUCUAGGCAUUUCAUACCCGGAAGGUGUUUGAUGAAAUGCCUGAACCAACUCUCCUAAGCUUUUAACAUUCUUUACCAAAGGGAUUUGUUGUUAAAGGUGUUAAGAUGGCUAGUAGACUUGAGAUUAAUGAUUACUUAGAUAACAUUCAACCAAAGGAAUUUGAUGCUUGAGUUAUCUAGGUAAAUGAGCAUUCAUCUAGGGAUAGAGUUUGUUUAGGAUUGUGUCUAGGUCUAAGGUAGAUAUAAAUUGGUUGAAAGUUGACACCUUUAGGUUGAAUCUUGAUCACCCAAGAUCAAUUCCCAUAGCCCAUGAGUUCUCCCAUCUUAUAAGAAAGAAAGCUUUGUCAUUUAUUACAUUUUAGGUAGAAAUCUAGUUUAAAAACAUCUCAAAAACUGGUAGCACUUAGAUUAAGCAUGGUCUUGCAUUCUCUUUGCAUCAUAAUCACUUAGAACUGGUUUGACAUCCUUUAUACUACAACAUUUGAUUAGGAGCCUUGAAACUCCUAACAUCAGUUAAACACAUAUUCAACUAGUUGAUAUUUUAACAUACGUGAAUUCAACUAUUUAAAACCGUUACGGUUCAAUUAUUUAAUCUCCAUUUCCACUUAUUUAUCAUUUAUAUACUAAAACACAAAUCAGCUCGUUAACGAUUUAAAAUUGGACAUGUGGAACAUGCUUUAUAAAAAUAAAAAUAAAUCUACUUAAAACAAAUUCUCAUCCCUAAUUUCCAGCAACUCUAUCCUAAAUUUUUUCAGAAUCCAUGUUCAAAAUCAGCUGAACAUGAUUUCAAACGGUUUUCUUCUCCUAUAGAUCUUAAUUCUUAGUGAGAAGAGGGAAAAUGGAUACAAAAACAACCAAUGUUUCUAGAGAUUUUUCAUUAAAUUAGAGAAUAGGGAUCUUUAGGUGAAAAUAGAAAUAAUAGGUGUAGCCACUACAAAAGAAAAAGAUAGUGAUAUUCGAAGCUGAGAAGAUGAUGAAUCCUAAAGAAAGGUGAUGGAUAUUUUCUAGCUAAAUGCAACUUCUUUGUUUGAAUCAGCCAUCUCUUAUCAUGUUUGUCGAAUAUUUGACUACAAUAAUACUUUUUAUUGAAAGAUAUAUUCAAAUUUCAUGAUAAAAGUAAUUUAAUAGACAGUGAAAUUGACCGUGCAGAGUACUAGAAAACACUAGUUGAUUAAAUAAACCCUAACCAUGAAAUGGAAAAGGUAAUACAUGUUCUAUGAUAGACUUUGAAACAGUGUAUUAUUUAAAUCGAUAUGAUCGAAUCUUUUCCUUGAACUUGAGAUUACAAAAUACAAACUGCGCGACAGAAACAAGAAAAAAGACCUUAUUCUUCACAUCCAAGUCACAGAGACCAAAGAGCUGGCAAGUCCAGAUUGUUCGAAACUCGUGUAAGAUCCGUAAGAAAGAUUCUUGUAAUAACCCGGAAUCGCUUGAAACAGCUUGAAAGGCUUAUUCCUCUCCGACUGGUCAAUCUGGGAAUAGCAAAACGACCAGAGAAGCUGAACCGAUUCUGAUUUGAGGAAACUUCUCUGCACUCUUCUCCCGUCCGGUAAUCGAACGCUGAUCCUACACAAAACGCUUUUAUCCAAAUGGCUAUUUGGCUCUGCGGAAUAACCGCUUUUGGAAACAGACAAGUUGUUGUUGUGCUCUCCGUCGCUGCUGCUACCUCGGAACAACGUUUUGGGUGUUUGGUAUAUCGACGAACGACGAUAAAUUCUCAAAGAGCGAUUGCCGUUCAAGCAUUGCGAAUGAUCUUUUUGCCAUUGAACGGUAUCGAACUGUAGAUUUCGUAGUAAUCCUUUUCAGGAGGAGUGGUUGAGUGGAUGUUGUUGCGAUUGCAGCUUCUCUAUUUAUCAUGUGUUAGAGAGGCAUGGAGAAAUUGAACGCUGUUCCCAUUCCGUUUGAAAAUGGAUAUUUUCCUUUUUUUCUAUCGUCAACAAAAUAAGUUUAUGGAUAUUCAUCUUUUUUUUUUCUAGUUUAUUAAAUUUUUCUUCCAAAUUUAUUCGGAUUAUAAGUUGAACUUUAAUUCGCUAAAUAUUCCUCAACGAGUCUCUUAUUAGAAUAGUUUACCAACUAUUUUUCUUAUAAAUUUUCUUGACAUAAUGCUUUUGCAAAUGAUUUGCCAAUGUCAAUCUCAUUUAUAACAACUAUAUAUAUAUGAAACAAACGUUCUUAUAUGAAUGACACUUCAGAACUAAGAACCAAUUAUAGAGUCAAUAUCAUGUUUUGACAAGGUAUCAGAUCCACAUGCAAAGUUGGAGACUAUGAUGCAAAGAAAAGUAACUUUUUCCAUUAGAUAAACUAAAGAACGCUCUUGAAUUGAUCAGACUAUACCACAGCCGGAAGACAAGCCACAAGAAGGAAGCAGAAAUAAUUAACUAAAAUCUAUCUCAAACUCCAAAACUUUUUAGAAGCUAGGACCGCAAACAAAUGAUAAAAUCAGCUGCAUGAUCCAUUGUUUCGAUGCGCAUCAUGGAGAGCAGUAAAAUCGCCAGCUAUCCACUGUCUCAGUCUGUUCAUUAUCAGUCCUCUUUAUCACCCAACGUGGCAAAAAGCUCACCGUUAGACUCACCAGAUUGGUUUACUUGGCCUAAAAGAUACCCACAAGUAGUUGAUUUAGCCAAAGUCUUUCACUGCAACGUUUUGUUGUUAAUGCACCGUCACUAAGGACAACAGACUUGUGUUUGUGGGAAAACCAGAUGGAUCAAUAUCAAAACUGGUUAUGAUAGAUGCUCUAGGUUUUCUCUAGUCUUUUUCCUAUUUCUCUUUUUUUCAUUCGAAAACCAAAUACACUUUCUCUAAAACGUUAAUCUACGUAUUUUUUUUUGUCAGCAACAUAAAAGAGUCAUGUAGACUCUUCAAAUCAGACUGGUAGCUCCGUAUCCAUAUGGACAACAGUAGACGAUUGCAAUCUACAUAUUCUUUAUCUAAGCUUCACCGACUAUCUUUGGUGAAAUUUCUUUUUCGAUAAAGACUAAUCUUCCCCUGUAGUUUCGGUUCAGUAUUUUGAACAUCUCUAACCACAAAAUCCCAACGAACAAACAUCAAUCAUCGGUCGACAAUAACGCAACUUCCGCCUCUCAAAUCCUAAUUGCCAACCUCGGAUGUUCCUUGCCUCCACCCAGAGCCGGCCCUGGGCUAAAACCCAUAAAGCAAGAGUUUCAGGCGCCAAAUAUAUAUACUUAUUAGGGGCACCAAUUACCUGAAGGCGUCACUUUAGUCUAGUGGUCUUAGACCUUUUCCUCCCGACCAACAGGUAUCAGUUUCGAAUUAUAUCGCCUUCUUCCUCUUUGUUAAUAUUUUUUAUUCCUUUUUUUAUAUUCAUCAAAGAUAUGGACGAUUUUAUUACCAUUUCCAAUAGUUCUAGUUUCUUUUCUUAUAUGUUGUAAAUGCUAUAUUAUUAGAUAAUAAAUUUAAUUAAAACAGAUCUAAUUAAUCUUUUUACUUUAUUAAAAGACAAUUUUAUUUUUCUAGUUCUUCUUUUCUAUCUCUUUCAGCUAAUAUUUACUAGAAUACAUGUAUUAACAAGAUAUAUUAUAAUAAUUAACUUGAAUUAGAAAUUAUUCGUAUUAACAAUGAAAUUGUGAUUAAUUUUUGUAGGAAUGCAUGCAUCUCCCCAGGACCGGAUGGCUACCCCAUGGAAUUCUAUAAGGCAGCAUGGUCAGUGGUAGGAAAAGAUUUUGUCACUGCAAGGGAAAGAUUUUGUCACUGCAGUUCAGUCUUUUUUCAUUUAUGGAUUUAUGCCUCGCAGCGUCAACGCAACCCUCUUGGCCCUAGUUCCCAAGACCGCUGAUGCUGAGAAAAUGACAGAUUUUAGGCCUAUCGCUUGCUGUAAUGUAAUCUAUAAAGUGGUAUCAAAGAUUAUAGCAAGAAGAUUGAAAGCUACGCUCCCGGAGGCUAUAGAGUUAAACCAAUGCGCUUUUGUGGAAGGCAGGCUCCUUCUGGAAAACGUUCUUCUAGCAACGGAACUGGUAAAGGACUAUCACAAGACAUCAGUUACAUCUCGAUCGGCAAUUAAGCUCGACAUUUCAAAGGCUUUCGACACGGUCAGUUGGGAGUUCAUAGAGGAAACUUUACGUGCAAUGAAUUACCCCGACCUGUUCAUUUCUUGGAUCAUGAGAUGUCUUGACACUGCUGCAUUCUCUGUCUCGGUAAAUGGGGAGUUAGAAGGUUUCUUCUCCAGUAGCAGAGGCAUGAGGCAAGGGUGUUCGCUCUCCCCGUACCUCUAUGUUAUUGCCAGCAAUGUACUCUCUAAGCUUCUCAAUAAAGCGGCGUCUGAUGGGCGGAUAGGCUAUCACCCACACUGUAAGGAGGUUAAACUCUCUCACCUUAGUUUUGCUGAUGACAUUGUAGUCUUCACAGAUGGCUCCCCGGAAUCGCUUAGAAACACACUGGCUGUAUUUGAUAAGUUCGCUAGCAUGUCGGGAUUGAGGAUUAAUGUCGCAAAAUCAACUGUCUUUGCUGCGGGUAAAGGGAAACUAGUGCUAGAGGCUGCCGCAGGUGCUACUGGUCUCACAGUCUCUGCGCUGCCUAUCAAGUAUCUUGGUCUCCCACUAACCACAAAGAUAAUGACGAAGAAUGACUAUGAGCCGCUGAUCACAAAAAUCAGGAACAGGUUUAUCUCUUGGACAAGUAAGGCACUUUCAUACGCAGGAAGGUUACAGCUUAUUAAGUCGGUUAUUGCGAGCAUCACAAAUUUCUGGUGCGCUGCUUUCUGCCUCCCUCAAGCAUGUAUAGAUGACAUUGAAAGUAUGUGUUCGGCGUUCUUAUGGAGUGGCUCACCAAACAACACUUCUAUGUCUAAAGUUGCUUGGGCUGAUGUCUGUUGUCCAUAUGAGGAAGGUGGUUUGGGGUUGCGUCGAGUUAAAGAAGUGAGUACGGUUUUUAUUCUGAAACUGAUAUGGCGUCUCUCUGCGCAGUCGUACUCACUGUGGGCCACGUGGGUCAAACAAUAUCUACUUCGGGGGAGACUCUAUGGGAUGUGAGGGAAACUGGUUUGGGUUCUUGGGUGUGGCGUAAGCUCUUGAAGCAUAGGAAUCUGGCAAAACAGUUCAUUCGCACAGACAUUGGCAAUGGGCAAUCAGUGAAGUUUUGGCUGGAUAUUUGGCACCCCGCAGGGAGGCUGAUAGAAAUUACUGGGGAUAUUGGGACGCAGAAACUAGGCACUGCAAGACAUGCACGGGUAUGUGAGGUCUAUGUGGAAGGAGUUUGGAGGAUUCGGUCCUCUCGGGAUCUGCAGAUUCAACAAUUGGUGCAGGAGAUUCGGCAGUUCCUGCUAGUGAUUAAUGGUACUGAUCGUGAUGGGGUCUUGUGGAAAAAUGGUCCUGAUGACUAUGGAGACAGGUUCAUAGCCUCAAGCACUUGGCAUCAGAUCAGGCAACACAGGGAAAAAACACCAUGGAGUAAGCUCGUGUGGUUCUCUCAAGGUGUUCCACGAUUUGCCUUCAUCACGUGGCUAGCUUUUCGUGAUAGACUCUCCACGGGUCAUCGAACUAGUAAAUGGGGUCAGACGCAAGGUUGCCUCUUCUGUGGGGAACCUGAUGAGACUAGGGAACAUCUCUUCUUUGCUUGUCCGUACACUUACACAUUGUGGCUGGAAGUUGUGGGUAAUCUGUUUGGUGUUGAGCCUGACCCGGAUUGGGAUAUUACUGUCUCUCGGCUGCUUACAGGAAGGUAUGAUCGCCUUAGUUUCAUACUGCUGAGACUAGUUCUGCAAGUCACCAUUUAUUUUGUGUGGAGAGAGCGAAAUGAUAGGAGACACAGCAAUGGUGUAAAGUCUGUGAACCAGCUUGGAAGGAUCAUCGACAAACUGUGCGAAACCGUAUUAUGU